rnacentral:lncRNA from 1 species
UUUUUUUUUGCGAAAAACUGUCGAUAUAUUCAUUUUCAGUUAUGGCAGUACAACGAACACUAGAAAUAAUAAAAAUAUGCAUCAAGAUUUAUAGACCACCUAGCGACGACUGCAAGCACUGAAGCGAGCCUAAGGCGCGCCGCCGUCAUCGCCCCUCCCUCGUCGGAGUCAGGCACAAUUUGUUGUAGUAGACAGUCAGGAAGCCGUCGUGCUAAGAUCCCAUCAACGCACCAGAACAGCAACUGCCGCCGAUGAAGAGAAUUUUAGAUCGGAAAGAUCCAACCUGAAGACACAUGAGCAAAGACGAACAAAGACCGGAUCCGAGCGGAUCAAUCAAAGACAACUACCGACCAAAUCUCGUGAGAUCUGCCAGAGACACACGGCCUCCGACGAUGCUAGACACACACUAGGACGGGGGCUAGGCGGGAAGAACCAUAUUCCAUCUUCAAGAAGUCGCCGCCAUCUCGUCUUCUUGAGCAGGACACAAGCUCUAACAAAACUUGAAGAAGCACCUGAAAACGAAGCCCUCCCGCCAAUAAGGACCGGGAUCCACCGCGCACCCAUGGCCCUAAGGCCACAGGAGACGUGGAAGAUCGGUGGUGCUUCCGACGGGAGGCAGAAACCCUAGCCGCUUUUUUUUAAAGCUUAGCUAAUUCCACCGAGAAAAUGAAAAAGGAAAAAAAAAGCUACAAAAUGCAGGUGGUGUUUUAUGGCCACAAAACGAAGUGUUGACCAGAAAACGCCUCGUUAUCUUAUGUUAGUUGCUGAGCCAAGAAGGAACUACUGCAACAUGAGAAGACGUCUUGAGCUACAAACCAGUGAUGAGAAACUGAGGGUGCAAGCAACAUGAUCUGCAUCUGAGGAAACACCAGAUUAUAAAUUUGCAGAAGACCGAGGCGAACCGGCUCCAAUUUUUAGAGUCCCCUGUAUGACGGACACAGGCGUCAUAUAAAAGACGAAACACCCAUGCUGGCUUAAAUCGUCCCGAAAUGUAGCCGCCAUUUUCAUUAAAUUUUCGGGUGAAAAUAUUAAUUAACUGAGUGCAUAAAAAAAUAAAAAUAUAUUUAUGAAUUAUAAUGUUUAAAAGUCAAUUAAAAAUCAAAUGUGUAUAUAAUGUUUGUUUAUUUUAAAGAGUUCAAUUUGUGUUUAAAAAUGUUCAGUGUGCAUUUAAAAAGUUCACCCUAUAUAACACAAAUCACCAUAUAUUCGAAAAAAAAAUAGUUUAUAUUUGAGAAAAAAUUGCUAAAAAAUUGCUCGAUGUAUUUAACAAAUACUCACCGUAUAUGAAAAAAUAUCACUAUAUAUUACAAAAAGUUCAGCGUAUGUUUAAAAAGGUAACCCCGUGUUUCAAAAAAGUUACCAUAUAUUCAAAAAAUAUUAAUUUAUAAAACUAAUUUUUUAAAUUUAAAAAUAAAAAUGAAGAAAAUAGAAACCCAAAAUAAUGUAAAAAAGAAAUAAAACAAAAAGAAAAGAUAUACCUAAAACAGAAAGCCAAAAAGUAGGAAAAAAACCAACAAACAGAAGAACAGAAAAAUGUACAAGAAUAACUAAGAAAAUAAAUAAAAUUAAUUAAGAGAAAAACAAACACAGAAAACUGAAGAAAAAACGUACAAUAAACAACAACAAGAAAACCAAAAAAAAGUAGCAGCGAAGCGAUCCGCAUACUGGGCUCGCCCAACUAGCCUCGCAUGGGCGUCACAGGAUCAAUUUUUCGCCCACGGGCUCCAAAUAGGAUUCGCCCAAUUUCCAAGCGAGCAAAGGGUUACCUUCUUUUUGAGAGCUAGCAAAGGGGUGCGUCAUGUUUGGCUUCGACGGAGCUGGUUGAGCACAUUCUGGCCACGGUGGAACCUGACGCAAAAUCUUGGCUCUUCAGUAUACUUGCUGCGGUAUCACAUGCAGAAAUGAUCCGAGUUGUUGUUACCUUCUGGGCGAUAUGGUUGGCGCAGAGGAAAUUGAUCCAUGAAGGAGAGCACCAAAGCCCUUUGGCGACCUUUUCUUUCAUCAAUAGGUAUCUCUCUGAUCUAGCUUUGGCUCAACCAUCACAGGUGUUAUCACAUGCUCGCCAGCCGCAGGAACAGGCAAGGAAAUGGAUCCUGCCCCCGCAUGGAUAUGUGAAGAUUAAUGUGGAUGGUGUAGUGUGUAGAAGCCCACCUAUUGGUGCAGUCAGCGCUGUAUGCCGGGAUGGACAAUGUGUGUACAUGGGUUCUUCGGCUGUGGUUUUUCACGGGCUGACCGACCCACACAUUUUGGAAACUUUGGCGUGUCGUGAGGCGCUAUCAUUAGGGAGGGACUUGCUACUCCAAAACAUCACAGCGGCCUCGGACUGUCUCUCCGCCAUCAAUGACAUCAACUCAGGAACUCAUGGUAUCACUGGCCCAAUCGUCAGAGAAAUAAAGGACGGUUGUGGUGAUUUUCAGGCUAUCUCUUUUGCUCAUGAAGAACGUCACUUCAAUACGGAGGCGCAUAGUUUAGAUAGACAUGCUUUGCAUUUGGGUGAAGGGCGCCAUGUUUGGCUUCUACAACCCUUUGAUACUCUAUUUAUUCCUGUAAACCGUUCCAUUGAUCAAUAAAGCAUUGCAUGUUUUCCCUAAAAAAAGCAAAGGGGUGCAUCAGCCACCGUGCCGCUUGUUUUUUUUGGCACACUUUUUAGGAUUUUUAUCUGUUUUUUCAGCUUUGGGCAUUUGCUUGAUUUUUUCUAGGCUUUGGUCGACUUUUCUUGCGAAAGUGAUGUUUAUUCCACGAGAAGCGAGGAAGCAUAGUUGUGAUUUCAUGAGAAGCACAACUGUGCUUCCUGCAAAAGCGCAACAUGUGCUUUCACGAGAAGCACAGAUGUGCAUCCUGAAGGAAAAAAAACACAACUAUGUUCUCAGUUUGUUUGUUUUGGCAGUUUCUGUUUUUCUGUCUUCAGUUUUUCUGUGAAUAAAAAGUUUGUCAAAACCUAUUAACAUGAGAUCUGAUUUUGAAAAACUCAACAUGAAAAAUUUAGUGAUAUAAAUGAUUCGUCAUUUGAGCACAUGGUUCAAACGAUCAAAUGUUAUGAGAAAACAUAUCUACAGAAAAAGAUAAAGCUCUUGGUUACAUGCCAUAGAAGAUGAGAAUGACCAUUGCAAGGCAACCCAUGUGUUGGGCUCUGCCUCUUGUUAUCAAACGGACCAACACCAACCACUCUCGAUGCCUUCACUGCUGUCCGCUACUGUGCUGCAACAUUCUGGUAGGCGUCUGACAGAGAUCGGACCAUGAUUACAUGAUUGUUACCAGUUCCGUUUCGUUUGUGACAUGAGCCAGAGCUUAACUCGGUUUAGUUGGUAUAUAUGGUACUCCCUCCAAUGAUACAUAUAAGAUGUUUUGGAUAUUUCAAUAUGAACAACAUACAAACAAACACAGUUCAAAUGAAUGAAAACACACUAAAACAUGCGUAUAUACAUCUGAUUCAGGAAAAAGUAUAAACAUCUUAUAUUGCGGUAGUACGGAAAAAAACGGUUGUGCCAUAUAACACGUCCCUGUGCAAAGUGCAUAAAACCCAUGAAAUGAAUCAGAAAUGGGAGUUUUAUGUUCCAGCAGGUACAGACCAUGUCCCACCAGAUUGAGUCUCCCUUAGUCUCAGAACAACGUGACAAGAUCACAAGUUCCCAAACAGAUGUUUCAAAUUUUAUCACCGGAAUAUAAAGCAGACCCAAACCCCAAUUUAACACACGCUUUUCAGCAAUUGGCAAUGGGAUCUAGAUUAUAAAGGCAAUAGUAGAUCUUUGACACAUUACAGUCGGCACUGGUAGCAAAAAGGUUGGAAUAACAGAUAUCCCUGACAGUCACACAACAAAGAACAGCGGAGUACUUUCCUACAUACGAACCAGACCAAAACAUAGCACCUGACAGUCUACUCAUCCUCCUGGCUGCGGAGCCUGGCAAGCUUGUUGGUAACCACGAUGUCGAGCUGCGCAGCACGCUCAACGAUGUCCUUGCGCUUCUUGGUGGAGACGUUGUGGGCGAUCUCCGCACAGUAGGUCCUGGUUGCAAGAAACAAGGCAUAUUACGAUUAGCAUGACCAUAAUAGUGGAAGACAGUACUGUACAAGGCAUGAUAGACACCCAUUACCUGUUGUGCAUCAUAAGCAGCUCCAGCUCAGACACAUUGUGGACAACAAACUUCUUGAACUUGUUGGGAAGGUAGUGCCUGGUCUUCUUGUCAGAACCGUAGCCAAUGUUGGGCAUCAAGGUGCAUCCCUUGAACUUUCUCCUGACACGGGAAUCAAUACCCUUUGGCCUGCGCCAGCUUUGCUACAAUCAAAAAUGAAAAUAUUGUUCAGUUCAAGCAAAACAUUAUACACAAUAAACAAGAGGACAAGUCCAGAAGAGAUGAAAAAACAAGAUUCAACACAUCUGAAAUACCAAACAACCUGGCAUCACCUGCUCCUUGUGGACUCUAUAAUGGACAAUAAUAAUUUUAUGACAUUCAGAAACAAUGGUAAAUUACAAGCAGUUACCAUCCUACACAAUAAGUUGCCUAGCCAUACUUGUACCAUCGGACAACACAAAAAUAAUUAUAAUUGAGCAAAGCAACAAAUCGCUUGCUGGCUUUGGUGUAUGGGGGUAUACUUGCAACAAAAAAAUCAUAGAACACAAAAUAGAAGAAUAACACACCAAGAAAAUGCUGCUCAGCUCAAGGUUACAUAACAGUGUAGAAGUAGUUAAGCUGAAAGGAUCAGAGAGAAGGUACUAAUCAUGCAGAAAACAUGACUUCUUGAGCGCACAUUGGUAAACAAGUGUUGGGAGAAGUCUAAGCAAAGCAUUCAUACUUAGAAUGAAGCCCACGCCUUUUUUUAAUUCAUCCCACUUCAUGAAGACAUGAAUAAAUUGCUGUAGAAGAGGUUGCGACAGCCACAGUACUUACUAAUGUAAGGGCUAGGGCCCUCUUCAUUUAACCCAAUAUUUGCUCAAGAAGAUGUUUUCUUACUCAGACCUUUUACUAAGCCAUCACUUCCUUUCUUCACAAAGUCAUCAAUAAAACAAGGUAAAACUAAAACACAAAUGCCCGGCUAAGUGUCUACUAUAAGCUUUCAACCCAAUGCUCAUUGAUGAUUUGAUGUACAAGUGCAACAAACAAUUUCAAUUUAAACAUUAGUCGUUCGGUUAUCGAAUUUGUGCUUGUUCAUAUCCUAAAUGGUUUCCACCUUCAGAAAACACAAUAAAUUUCUACAGCAACAUACGCUAAUAUCGUACAACACUAUCGUGCUGAAUCAACGACUUCAACACUGCCAUUUCACAGUAACAUAGCCUAAGCAGAAGUGGUAAAUUUGGCAUACAGCGACUACGUAUCAAAAGUGAAUAAUACUACAAAACGUCAGAGACCUCCAGAUUAUGCAAUGGAGAUACUACAGCAGGCCAUGAACCGCGGUAAACUUUGAAAGUUGAAACGACAGCAUGCUUAACAAUCGGGAUCUAGAACCGGGUAAAAUCAACUGCACGAAGCAAUCAAAACAUGAGGCACUUGUAAUAUCCACUACAUAGAGGUCUUGGGGAAGAGGUAGAUACCUUGAGGCCAAUGUAGCGGUCGCUAUGGGCCCUCUUGAAGUGCUUGACCCUCUUCUUCACGAUCUUCUUCGUCAGAAGCGGCACCGCCAUCUCUGAUCUGUCGGGCAAAACCAGAAGAAGGGGUUCGAAUCAGACAACGAGGCUAAAAUCACCCGGAAAAACGAGGUGGGAGCUCGUCUGCGAGCUUGCUUGCUACCUUCGGGAGCGAACGGCCCUAACCCUAACACGAAGAGAGGAGGAAGAAGAGCGGCGGCGGGGAUGGAAUUGCAAGGCGACGCAGUCUUUAUACCCUCCACAAACCCUAGUUACAUGGGCUCGAAUGGGCCAGUGCGGUCUAGCCCGAAAAAUAGAAAGUUAAGCCCGGUACAUUGCAAUAACUUGCCCAGUUGCAGAGUGGGCCUCCGUUUCUAGAGGCGAGGCGAGAAAUGUCGCCCUCCGUCUCCGCCGCCGUUCUCCGCCGCCUCGGCGACCGGCUCGGCCUCCGCCGACUCGCCACGCUCCCCGACUACGCGGCCGGCGCCGAUGAGCUGCCGCAGCACCCCACCUCCAAGGACGCCUACUUCGCGGCGGUCAACCACCUCUCCACCAUCGUACGGCGCGACUUCUACCUGGAGCGCACCCUGAACCGCCUCCGCCUGCCGUCCCCCUUCCCGCCGGACCUCGCGCUCCGCGUCAUCCGCGCCGCUGCCCCCUCCGAGCCCCUCCACGCCGCCCGCUUCCUCGCGUGGCUCCGGGCGAAGCCCAAUUUCUCCCCCUCCGCCGAUCACUUCGACGCGCUGCUCCUCCCGCUCGCCCGCGCGCGCCUCUUCACCCACCUCUGGACCCAGGCCUCCGACAUGCGCGCGCUCGGCCUCCCCCUCUCUCCGGCAACCUUUUCGGCGGUGAUCUCGUCCUACGGCCACUCCCGCCUCGCCGAGCAGGCCGUCGAGGUCUUCAAUCGCCUUCCCCACUUCGGGUGCCCGCAGACCACCGAGGUCUACAACGCCCUUCUGGACGCGCUCUGCGCCAACGGCAACUUUGCCGGCGCCUACAAGCUGCUCCGCCGCAUGGCGCGCAAGGGCGUGGCCCCCGACCGCGCCACGUUCAGCACGCUCGUCGACGCCUGGUGCGCGUCGGGGAAGCUCCGGGAGGCGCAGGCGUUCCUCGACGACAUGUCGUCCCGCGGGUUCCGGCCGCCGGUGCGCGGCCGGGACCUCCUCGUCGACGGGCUCGUCCGAGCUGGGCGCCUGGAGGAAGCCAAGGCAUUCGCCCUCCGCAUCACCAAGGAGGGCGUCCUUCCCGACGUGGCCACGUUCAACUCGCUCGCCCAGGCGCUUUGCGAUGCUGGUGAUGUGGAAUUCGCCGUGGGUCUUCUUGCCGAUGCUUCCAGUCGUGGCAUGUGCCCAGAUAUCUCAACUUACAAAGUGAUGCUACCGGCCGUGGCCAAGGCUGGCCGAAUUGAGGAGGCAUUCCGAUUGUUCUAUGCGACUAUUGAGGAUGGCCACCGGCCCUUCCCAAGUCUAUAUGCGGCGAUCGUCAAGGCGCUCUGCAAGGCAGGUCGUUUCGCUGAUGCUUUCGCCUUUUUUGGUGAUAUGAAGUCCAAGGGGCACCCACCCAAUCGGCCUGUGUAUGUGAUGCUUGUCAAAAUGUGUGUGAGAGGUGGUCGGUUCUUGGAUGCUGCAAACUACCUUCUUGAGAUGAGUGAGGCUGGGUUCGCGCCACGGGCGCCAACCUUUAACGUUGUAGUCGAUGGGCUGCGGCAUCUUGGGAAACAUGACCUAGCCCGGAGGAUGGAGCAGCUUGAGAUGUCACUAAAAGGAAACUGAAUGGAUCCGGAAGUAGAUGCGGUCUAGUGGGGCGCUGCGAAUUGCUUGGUAAAGUUUCUGAAUUACUAGGUUGGGCUCCUAUCUUCUAAUUGCAUUUCAUGACAUAGGCCGCCAGUGCUAUGCUGUUGGACUGUGACUGGUAUGCUUGGCAAGUGAUUUAUUUGUUUUCGGUAGGAAGAAUCAAUGAAUAAGGCCAUCAGAUAGCCUCAACUAAUUUGCUCAAAAUUGUGCAGUGUAGGUUCACAAGAAAAGUAGUGGUGGAGUAGGCACUAAGUUCAGAAGAAUGUAAGUUUUGUGGUUGCAUAGAUAAGAUUAUUGAAAUAUCCAUGGUCCAUUGGUGUUUGAUCAGGUGUUUUCACUGUUCAAUUUAGCACCAACUCUGUGCUCCAUGAUAAUUCAGUAUAAAGAUUGGAGCCAUGCUACCUUGUAUGAUUUAAAACUGUAUUGUUGAGAUGUCACUAGAAGGAAACUGAAUGAAUCGGGAAGUAGAUGCUGUCUAGUGGGGUGCUGUGAAUUGCAUGGUAAAGGUUCUGAAUUUUCAGGUAGGAUUCCUGUCUUCUGAUUGUAUCCUGUGACAUAAACCAAUGUUAUGCUGUUGGACUGUUGGAUAUGCUGGUCAAGUGAUUUGUUUGUUUUGGGUAGGAAGGAUCAAUGAAUAAGAUCAUUGGAUAGCCUCAACUAAUGUGGUCAAAUUUGUGUAGUGAAGGUUAACAAGAAGAGUAGUGGUGGAGUAUGCAGUAAGUUGAGUGGAAUUUAAGUGUUGUGGUUGCAUAGAUUAGAUUUUGAAAUAUCCACUGCCCCAUCGGUGUUUGACCAAGUGGACCAGGUGCUUUCACUGUUGAAUUUAGAACCAACUCUGUGAUCCAUGAGAAUUCAUGUAGAAUAAAGAUUGGAGCCAUGAUACCUUGUACGAUUUGAGAUCGCGUUGUAGAGAUAGGGCUGACUACUGAUAUUGUGUGCUGAAACCUCAAGGCAAAUCACUUACCAUUGCAAGGUUGAGGUCCCUGUGUUGUCUUCUGGACAAAAGAACAACACAGUAUGAGUCUUAAUGGGGGAGAUUUCAAUUUUUUGAGAUUGACAGUGCUCCGCCUUUUUGUAGAAUGCACAUUUGCGGAGACAAAGUGAUACUGAAAAUGGUUAGCUGUUUGAAGUGUUCAAAUCAGUUUAUGGUGGAAGUGUUUCGUUGACCAUGCAUCAGUUUUAACUUUUAAGAUAGUUUGGUAGUACAUUGCAAUUGAUUCAUAUAUGUCCUGCACCACAGCACCGACACUCUUCUUUAAGGAUGAACAAUGUGAGAAUGGCCCCUGUGAAUCAGCAUACUGCAUGAAAUGAUUGUUACUCGUCCUUUGUAAUGACUAUGAUGAAGGUUGUUCUGCUUCUGCAUAGCUGUUGGUUGUUGCUUUAUGUUUUUUCCUUCCUUUUUUUGUGUGCAGUGUUUCAACUUUGCCCUUCGUGAGCAUCAGAUACUCGAUUGGCAUGCAGAAUUGGACUUACCUUACAGUGUCCUAAUACCUUCUGACAAGGAACCAUCCGGGUGCACCCAACGAGAUCAAAGCUGAAUGAACCUAUGUUGUUACAUCAUGUGGCCAGAAUAGCCGGGCAUGCGGUGGCUCGACGUUCACAAGCUGAUUACAGGCUAUUGUGUCUCCUGAACAUACUACUGCAGAACUCAAGAACUCCCCAGUGAUUUGGGGAAGGAAUUUGCCUUGCGUUCGAUGGUCUGCCUUCUGUAUGGCGACAAACUACUGUCACGGCGGUGUUAGUAAGCGUAUGGGCACGACUGCAGAAGGGGGGAAUGCAGAGAUGUUUUGAAAUCAGGAGGUCAGCUAUGAACCUAUGACUGAUCACACCGCUGAGGAAUGCAAAUUCGAGAAGCUGAGGGAGGAGUUGAUGAUGAGAUACAACAUUGUCUUGCAUUUCAUAGACUGGGAAUCGAUUUUUUUUCUUGUGAAAAAACAUUGCUUAAUGUGAAUGUUGCAAUGAACUGAUAUACCUUGUCUUUUUUCCCGACCGAAGGUCUUUUGAAGAUGUAUACAUUGUUCAACUUUCCGUGAUGGAAAUUGUGGGUAAAUUCAGUUGGUCCAAAUACAAAGGCUCGUUCUGAAGUGCGAAAUGCAAAACCACAACGUGUAUGAAUGAUUUUGGUUACUUGCUUGUAAGUUAGUGGGUAUCAAUCUCGAGUUUGUCAAAAAAAAAUAGUGGUAUCAGUCUUGCAUUAUUUUUUUACCGGAACUGCAGAAGCUCGGCAUUUUCAUUAUGGGGUAAAGCAAAACUGUACAGAGACUAGGAACUAGCCACGAGGAGGGAAAAGGAGAGGAAGAGCGUUAGAAAAAGAUAGACAGAGAACUACCAGAGGAUUGCGCAGAAACAGCAAAACAUUACUAGAGGAGUGCGCAGAAACAGCAAAACGGAUCACUCUGAGGCCUCCUUAAGGAGGCUGAUUUCAUCUCUGAUAAUCAGAAGAACGCUCUGAGGGGUUGCCCGCUUGUUAUUGAAGAUUCUCGCAUUUCGUUCUUUCGAAAUCCCUGAAGCAAUGUACGUAUGCAGCAGCAGUGCGCUCAUCAAUCUCAUUCUUCUUUUUGUAAGGCACUCAGCAUUUAGACCACCAAUCCGAGAACAAUUGUGGAGAGUCAGCCGCGAGUGAAGCACUGGGAAAGUAAGCUCCAACGCAGCACUCCCUCUUUCCGUCUAUAUAGGACCUAAUGCAUUUUUUGAGGCUAACUUUGAUCAAAUGUUAGAGCAAUAAUAUAUGGUAUGCAAGUUACACAAAGCAUAUCGUUAAAUUUGUACGUGAAAAGAGCUUCCAGUGAUAUAAUUUUUACAUUAUACAUAUUGUGCAUUAUUAAUCUUAUUAUCAAUAGUCAAAGACAGUCUUAAAAUACGCAUUAAGCCCUAUAUAGAUGGAAGGAGGAAGUAACAAAUUUCCUUUGCAAAAGGGUAGCUAAGGGCAUUUCUAACCGAUCCCCUAUAACCGGUUAGUGGUGUAUAUUUAGCUUUUUACUCCACUAAUCGGCACCUAGUCGAUCUCCAAUCCAGCCUAACAGAGUAUAAUUUUACUCCUCUCCCUAAAAAAAUUCCUAUUUUUAAUCCCUCUUUGCUCCGCCGAGUAAAACGACGCGGCUCUCCUCUGCUGCCUCUCCCUUCCCUCCCACGCCGCAUCUUCGCCCCCGCCGCCCCUCAUACCCCUCCCCCCUCCCCGUCGGCACCGGUCGGCCGCCGGGAAAGCCUUGUAGGCCUCUGCCGCUGUCCUCCACCACCUUCUCGUCCCGCCGUCGGCCAAAAAUCAAGGGGAUCUGCGGCUGCUGUCGUCGCCGCCGGAUAUGGCGUUUCGGGCCACCAGCGGCUGCGCCUUGCCAUGGAUUGGUCGAGAAGCAGACCACACAGCCCCGGCUAAGCCUCUGCGCCGCAUGCAUGUACCGCCUCUUCCUCUAGCAACUCUAAUCGCUCCCGCCGUCGGUUCUCCGGCAACUACACGGCCGACCAUCGCCCGGGCUCGGCGCUCGUGCAGCGGCUCACCGACUUGCAGCUGGCGGUCAUACAAUACGACGACUGCACACGACAAGUGGUGCGCCAAGUUUCUACCACGCUGAAACAUCACGGAUGGGUGUUCUUCAAAUGCACAAAUGAUGGGGUAUGUGCUUGUUGAUUCGGUUUUUCACUGGAUUCGGUUCAAUUUCGGUAGCUCAUUGAUGCUCAUCUAUGUGUGUAGGAUGAUGGAUGCUUGUUUUGGUAUUGGAAGAAGAAUACAUCAAUCUAUUAAUAGCACGAAAAUUAGUAGAUGUUUGUGCACUCGUUAUAAUUGAGGCUAAACGUGAGACUAGAUGUGCGAUUAGAGAAGAAAAUAGAGGGGAAGCAACGUCUACUUUUUUAGAAUCAAAGAAGAAGAAUGAACUAUGCAAGAUCGAUAAUCCGCAGAUCAACAAUGAAGGCAUCGAGAAUAUACUAAUGCAACUAGUCAGAGUAGUUAUGGAAGUUGGAUAUCUUCUAAAAUGUCUAAUUGCUCUUCUAGCAAAGAAUUGGUGAAUUAUUAUGUAAUCGAAUGUCGUUGAAUGAAAUAAAGAAGCAAAGAAAUGUGUUUCGGUAGCCGAACUUGAAAUGCAAAUGAAAAAAAAUACUCUGUUAAGUUUAGGGGAUCGGCUAGGUCCGGCCAAAACUUAGUGGAGUAUUUAUACUCCACUAAGCCUUUUACUCGCUUAACUUUUUGGAGAUCGGUUAGAGUUGCCCUACGAGCCACUUGGUGGCAUUCCGGAACUUUGGCUUUGGCAGCGAUCCAACAGAGAUUAUGUUGGGAAUGGUUGCAUGGAAAAUAAAAAAAAUUAUACGCACACGCAAUGAUCUAUCCAUGGAGAUGCAUAGCAACAAGGAGAAAGUGUGUCUACGUACCCUCGUAGACCGUAAGUAGGGGCGGAUCUGGGCCCCAGGCCCGGGGCUUGACAAUUUUUUUAGUUAUUACCUAUGCAUGUUUUUGAAUGAGCCCGGGGCUUGGCCCAAUACACACCCAGCCAUCCAGGGCCAAGGCCAGGCUGUCCUCAUCGCUCGCAGCCUCGCACUAGGACUGGCUCGCACGGGCGCAUCAAGCCACCGCUCGCCCCUGCUCCCUUCGUUCCCCAGACCUAGAUCGACGCAGGCAGCCGCCGCCGUCGCCGCCCACCAGUGACUUCCCUCCGGUCCGCGCUCCCCUGCUUGCCUACUCCGCCGCUCCCCACCUGCUCGCCUGCUAUGGCUCCACGGUCCACACCUGCUCCGCCGCCCGCCCGCGCCCUCCGCCGCUCGCCCAGCCUGGGCUGGUCGCCUAGUCACCUGAUGCUCGCCGGCUCACCGCCUCGACCUCUCCUGGCUCCACGCAUGAGGGAGUCCUGGAUUAGGGGGUCUCCGGACAGCCGGACUAUAUCCUUUGACCGGACUGUUGGACUAUGAAGAUACAAGAUUGAAGACUUUGUCUCGUGUCCGGAUGGGACUCUACUUGGCGUGGAAGGCAAGCUAGGCAAUACAGAUAUGUAUAUCUCCUCCUUUGUAACCGACCUUGUGUAACCCUAGCCCUUUCCGGUGUCUAUAUAAACCGGAGGGUUUUAGUCCGUAGGACAACAUACAAUCAUACCAUAGGCUAGCUUCUAGGGUUUAGCCUCUUCGAUCUCGUGGUAGAUCAACUCUUGUAAUACCCAUAUCAUCAAGAAUAAAUCAAGCAGGACGUAGGGUUUUACCUCCAUCAAGAGGGCCCGAACCUGGGUAAAACAUCGUGUCCCCUGCCUCCUGUUACCAUCCGCCUUAGACGCACAGUUCGGGACCCCCUACCCGAGACCCGCCGGUUUUGACACCGACAUUGGUGCUUUCAUUGAGAGUUCCUCUGUGUCGUCGCCAUUAGGCUUGAUGGCUCCUUCUAUCAUCGAUAGCGAUGCAGUCCAGGGUGAGACUUUUCUCCCCGGACAGAUCUUUGUGUUCGGCGGCUUCGCACUGCGGGCCAACUCGCUUGGCCAUCUGGAGCAGAGCGAAAGUUACGCCCCUGGCCACCAGGUUAGGUUUGGAAGCUUAAACUACACGGCCGAUAUCCGCGGAGACUUGAUCUUCGAUGGAUUCAAGCCUCUGCCUUGUGCGUCACGCGGUCACGAUGAGUACGAUUUAGCUCUACCAUCAGACGGUGUUCAGGAGAUCGCACCGGCAGCCGCUCCGACCCUCAAUUCGGAGCCAGUUGCGCCGUCCAUGGACGGGUGGAUGGACCCCGCCACAGAGGCCUUACCCUCAGCAGCGAUCGAGCCGAACAUUGACCUUACCCUGCACGAGAGCCGUGUUGUCAAACUGCAGGAUCCUUCUCCGGCCACGGACUCCGAACCGCCUGCGCCCGUUCCUAGCGAAUCCGAUUGGGCGUCGAUCAUGGAGUUUACCUCCGCGGAUAUUUUUCAGCACUCGCCCCUUGACGACAUACCGAACUCAUUAAGGUCUCUCUCCUUGUCAGGAGAAUCCUGGCUGAACUAUGUCCGGCAGGUUUGGGAUGCGGAUGACGAAGAAAUUCACCGCCCACCCACCACCCACUUAGUAGCCACUGUCGAUGACUUAACCGACAUGCUCGACUUCGACUCCGAAGACAUCGACGGUAUGGACGACGAUGCAGGAGACGAACAUGAACCACUGCCCACAGGGCACUGGACGCCCACUUCACCACAUGACAUAUACAUGGUGAACACACCAAAAGAAAACGACGACGAGGAACAGAUGGACGCAACGAAGGGUUGUCCCCUUGAGAAGCAGUCAAAGCGGCGGCGUAAGCGCCGCUCCAAAUCCCGCCUCGGCAGAAACAAUGAUCAUAUAGACCCAGCGUUAGAGCAGGGUGAACCAUCUCCGGACCAUGGCAACAUGGAGAAUCAAACCGAACAACCCGACUCUGUCAAAGAUAAUAGUCCGGACGACAUCACACCGGACAGACACCCGGAGCAACAUAAUGCCCGUCAAAGGCUUGUUGCCACCGCGAGGAGUCUAAAAAAAUAGAAGCGAAGGCUCAAAGCUGCGCACGACACACUCAGAAUCAGAUGGAGUAAAGCACUCAACUCAGCAGCGAAGUACGGCGGUAAUCGCCCCACCAAGAGCUACCCAAAGCGGAAGUUUCUACCUGAAUUCAAUGAGGAGGCCUUAGAUCCCCCGCAACUAAAAAUUAAAACGGCCAUCUGGCCGGAUAGACGACCUCACGGCCAACAUAGAGCGGCAAACAACGCCGCACAUAAGCCAAUACGCGAUCCACGCGAGGGCUCGCAUCAAAAGGACGGCGCAGCCAGAUCCAUCUAUGGACCACGCAAGCGCGCUCCAGCAUACGAUGCAACACAACAAACAUCCGAACACCAUGGUACACCUAGAUACAGGAGUGCCGCACACCCCCUAUGUUUCACCGACGAGGUGUUGGACCUUGAAUUUCCAGAGGGAUUCAAACCCGUAAACAUAGAGGCAUACGACGGAACAUCAGACCCUGGGGUCUGGAUUGAGGACUAUAUCCUCCAUAUCCAUAUGGCUCAAGGAUAUAAUCUCCACGCCAUUAAGUAUUUACCCCUCAAACUCAAAGGGCCAGCUUGGCACUGGCUUAAAAGCCUCCCCGAAAACUCCAUUGGAAGCUGGGAAGAGCUCGAAGAUGCUUUUCGGACAAAUUUUCAAGGGACUUAUGUCCGACCUCCAGACGCGGAUGAUUUGAGUCAUAUAACUCAACAGCCCGGAGAGUCAUCCCGAAAGCUUUGGAACAGGUUUCUUACUAAAAAGAACCAAAUAGUCAACUCUCCGGACGCCGAAGCCUUGGCAGCUUUUAAGCAUAGCAUCCGCGACGAAUGGCUUGCCAGACACCUCGGCCAAGAAAAGCCGAGAACAAUGGCAGCAUUAACAAGCCUCAUGACCCACUUUUGCGCGGGUGAGGACAACUGGCUAGCCAUAUGCAGCACCAGCGACCCAAGUACAUCCGAAGUUAGAGAUGGAAAUGGGAAAUCACGACGCAGCAAAAAUAAUAAGUGCCGGAAUAAAGAAGACAACCCGAAGAGCACGACGGUAAACACCGGAUUCAUAAACUCUCGGCCAGGUCAGCAAAAGCCGCCCUCUAAAGGCAGCAGAGACGAACUGUCCAGCCUAAACAAAAUUCUGGACCAAAUAUGUCAGAUCGAUAGCACCCCUGGUAAACCCGCUAAUCAUACCCACAGAGAAUGUUGGGUCUUCAAGCAGUCCGGCAAGCUCAACGCCGUACACAAGGGGGAGGAUACACCAAGCGAAGACGAGGAUGAGCCUCUCAAGCAAGACACUGGGGAACAAAAGAAAUUUCCACUAGAAGUCAAAACAGUAAACGUGUUACACGUGAUCAAGGGGAGAAAGAAAGCGGCACUCCCAGAGAAAUAUGCCCAAGGGCCUAUCACCGCGGAGUCCGGCCACUGGUCAUCUCAACCGAUCACUUUCGACCAUCGGGAUUACUCAGCAAGUAUCCGACAUGCAGGAUGGGCUGCCUUGGUAUUAGACCCAAUAAUUGACGGAUACCAUUUCACACGAGUCCUGAUGGACGGUGGCAGUAGUCUAAACCUGAUAUAUCAGGACACAAUCCGCAAAAUGGGGAUAGACCCAACGAAAAUUUGCCACAGCAAUACUACCUUUAAAGGAGUAACGCCAGGCCCAGGGGCUCAUUGUACAGGCUCCCUGCUACUAGAGGUUAUAUUUGGCUUCCCCGAUAACUUCCGUAGUGAAAAUUUAACCUUCCACAUUGCUCCGCUCCAAAGUGGCUAUCAAGCACUACUUGGACGCGAAGCUUUCGCUCGCCUUAAUGCAAUACCGCAUUACGCUUCCCUCACGCUUAAGAUGCCUGGUCCAUGUGCCAUCUUACAGCAAAUGGAAAUAUGGAGCGAUCCCUGCGCGCCGAAGAGAGUGCGGCUGCCUUGGCAGUCGCACACUAAAACGGCCUCACCAACUAAAGCAUUCGAUAGGUCGUCAAGACUACGGACACGGUUAGACGAGUCCGGCGCAGCUAUCUGUAAUUCAUACAGGUUUGAUGGCCGUACCCCUAUUACAAACACAAGGGGCUCAACGCGCGCAGACAAGUGGCAAUUUUUACUCAUCUUGAAUUAUAGAUGGUUUCUUUAAACCUACCUUUUUGCACGACAACUUUUCACCUAAGUUCCUCUCUUCUACGUCUUGAGCUUGCGUUGGUUUUCCCCGAAGAGGAAGGGAUGAUGCAGCAAAGUAGCGUAAGUAUUUCCCUCAGUUUUUGAGAACCAAGGUAUCAAUCCAGUAGGAGGCCACGCUCAAGUCCCUCGUACCUGCACAAAGCGAUAGCUACUCGCAACCAACGCGAUUAGGAGUUGUCAAUCCCUUCAUGGUCACUUACGAGAGUGAGAUCUAAUAUAUAUAAUAUUUUUGGUAUAAAGAUGCAAAGUAAAAAGUAAAGGCAAAGUAAAAAAAGCAAAGCAAGAUUAAAGUGAUGGAGAUUGAUAUGAUGAGAAUAGACCCGGGGGCCAUAGGUUUCACUAGUGGCUUCUCUCAAGAGCAUAAGUAUUCUACGGUGGGUGAACAAAUUACUGUUGAGCAAUUGACAGAAUUGAGCAUAGUUAUGAGAAUAUCUAGGCAUGAUCAUGUAUAUAGGCAUCACGUCCGUGACAAGUAGACCAAAACGAUUCUGCAUCUACUACUAUUACUCCACUCAUCGACCGCUAUCCAGCAUGCAUCUAGAGUAUUAAGUUAAAAAUAGAGUAACGCCUUAAGCAAGAUGACAUGAUGUAGAGAGAUAAAUUCAUGCAAUAUGAAAUAAACUCCAUCUUGUUAUCCUCGAUGGCAACGAUGCAAUACGUGCCUUGCUGCCCCUUCUGUCACUGGGAAAGGACACUGCAAGAUCGAACCCAAAGCUAAGCACUUCUCCCAUGGCAAGAACUACCAAUCUAGUUGGCCAAACCGAACGAAUAAUUUGAAGAGACUUGCAAAGAUAACCAAUCAUACAUAAAAGAAUUCAGAGAAGAUUCAAAUAUUAUUCAUAUAUAGACUUGAUCAUAAACCCACAAUUCAUCGAUCUCAACAAACACACAGGAAAAAGAAGAUUACAUCGAAUAGAUCUCCACAAGAGAGGGGGAGAACUUUGUAUUGAGAUCCAAAAAGAGAUAAGAAGCCAUCUAGCUACUAACUAUGGACCCGAAGGUCUGAGGUAAACUACUCACACUUCAUCGGAGAGGCUAUGAUGAUGUAGAAGCUCUCCGUGAUGACGGCCCUCUCCGGCGGAGCUCCAUAACAGGCCCCAAGAUGGGAUCUCGUGGAUACAGAAAGUUGCGGCGGUGGAAUUAGGUUUUUGGCUCUGUAUCUGUUCGUUUGGGGGUAUGUAGGUAUAUAUAGGAGGAAGGAGUACGUCGGUGGAGCAUCGAGGAGCCCACGAGGCAGGGGGCGCGCCCUAGGGGGGGCGCCCCCACCCUCGUGACCGCCUCUUUGAUGCCUUGGCGUAGGGUCCAAGUCUCCUGGAUCACGUUCAGUGAGAAAAUCACGUUUCCGAAGGUUUUAUUCCGUUUGGACUCCGUUUGAUAUUCCGUUUCUUUGAAAUACUGAAAUAGGCAAAAAACAACAAUUCUGGGCUGGGCCUCCGGUUAAUAGGUUAGUCCCAAAAAUAAUAUAAAAGUGGAAAAUAAAGCCCAAUAUAGUCCAAAAUAGUAGAUAAUAUAACAUGGAGCAAUCAAAAAUUAUAGAUACGUUGGAGACGUAUCAGGCAUCCCCAAGCUUAAUUCCUGCUCGUCCUCGAGUAGGUAAAUGAUAAAGAGAGAAUUUUUGAUGCGGAGUGCUACUUGGCAUAAUUUCAAUGCAAAUCUUCUUAAUUGUGAUAUGAAUAUUCUGAUUCGAAAGAUUCAAGACAAAAGUUUAUAUUGACAUAAAAAUAAUAAUACUUCAAGCAUACUAACAAAGCAAUUAUGUCUUCUCAAAAUAACAUGGCCAAAGAAAGUUAUCCCUACAAAAUCAUAUAGUCUGGCUAUGCUCUAUCUUCACCACACAAAGUAUUUAAAUCAUGCACAACCCCGAUGACAAGCCAAGCAAUUGUUUCAUACUCUAACUUUUUCAAUCUUCACGCAAUACAUGAGCGUGAGCCAUGGAUAUAGCACUAUAGGUGGAAUAGAAUGGUGGCUGUGGAGAAGACAAAAAGGAGAAGAUAGUCUCACAUCAACUAAGCGCAUCAACGGGCUAUGGAGAUGCCCAUCAAUAGAUAUCAAUGUGAGUGAGUAGGGAUUGCCAUGCAACGGAUGCACUAGAGCUAUAAGUAUAUGAAAAUUCAAAAAGAAACUAAGUGGGUGUGCAUCCAACUUGCUUGCUCAUGAAGACCUAGGGCAAUUUGAGGAAGCCCAUCAUUGGAAUAUACAAGCCACGUUCUAUAAUGAAAGAUUCCCACUAGUAUAUGAAAGUGAUAACAUGAGAGACUCUCUACUAUGAAGAUCAUGGUGCUACUUUGAAGCACAAGUGUGGUAAAAGGAUAGUAACAUUGUCCCUUCUCUCUUUUUCUCUCAUUUUUUUAUUUUUUAUUUUUAUUUGAGCCUUUUCUCUUUUUUAUGGCCUCUUUUUUCGUCCGGAGUCUCAUCCCGACUUAUGGGGGAAUCAUAGUCUCCAUCAUUCUUUCCUCACUGGGACAAUGCUCUAAUAAUGAUGAUCAUCACACUUUUAUUUUUCUUACAACUCAACAAUUACAACUCAAUAUUAGAACAAAAUAUGACUCUAUAUGAAUGCCUCUGGUGGUGCACCGGGAUAUGCAAUAUGACAAUGAUAGAGUGUGUCAUAAUAAACAGAACGGUGGAAAGUUGCAUGGCAAUAUAUCUCGAAAUGGCUAUGGAAAUGCCAUAAUAGGUAGGUAUGGUGGCUGUUUUGAGGAAGGUAUAUGGUAGGUGUAGGAUACCGGCAAAAGGUGCGCGGUAUUAGAGAGGCUAGCAAAGGUGGAAGGGUGAGAGUGCGUAUAAUCCAUGGACUCAACAUUAGUCAUAAAGAACUCAUAUACUUAUUGCAAAAAUCUAGAAGUUAUCAAAGCAAAGUAUUACGCGCAUGCUCUUAGGGGGAUAGAUUGGUAGGAAAAGACCAUCGCUCGUCCCCGACCGCCACUCAUAAGGAAGACAAUCAAUAAAUAAAUCAUGCUCCGACGUCAUCACAUAAUGGUUCACCAUACGUGCAUGCUUCGGGAAUCACAAACUUCAACACAAGUAUUCUUUAAAUUCACAACUACUCAACUAGCAUGACUUUAAUAUUAUCACCUCCAUAUCUCAAAACAAUUAUCAUGCUUCAAUCUUUUCUUAGUAUUCAACACACUCAAAAUAAAGUUUCACAAAUCUUGAAUACCAAGCAUAUUAUUAUUAAGCAAAUUACCAUGCUAUUAAGAGACUCUCAAAAUAAUUUAAGUGAAGCAUGAGAGAUCAAUAGUUUCUUUAAAACAAAUCCACCACCGUGCUCUAAAAGAUCUAAGUGAAGCACAUAGAGCAAGAUUAUAACGCUCAAAAGAUAUAAGUGAAGCACAUAGAGCAAAACUACUUAGCUCAAAAGAUAUAAGUGAAGCACAUAGAGUAUUCUAUCAAAUUUUAAUUCAUGUAUGGCUCUCUCAAAAGGUGUGUACAGCAAGGAUGAUUGUGGCAUCCUAAGACAAAAAGACACAAAUAAGACAAGACUCCAAGCAAAACACAUAUCAUGUUGGUGAAUAAAAAUAUAGCUCCAAGUAAAUUACCGAUGGAAGUGGACGAAAGAGGGGAUGCCUUCCGGGGCAUCCCCAAUCUUUGACUUCUUGGUGUCCUUAGAUUAUCUUGGGGGUGCCAUGGGCAUCCCCAAGCUUAGGCUCUUGCCACUCCUUGUUCCAUAAUCCAUCAAAAGAAUUCACCCAAAACUUGAAAACUUCACAACACAAAACUUAAAGUAGAAAACUCGUGAGCUCCGUUAGCGAAAGAAAACAAAAGACAACUUCAAGGUACUGUAGUGAACUCAUUAUUUAUAUAUAUUGGUGUUAAACCUACUGUAUUCCAACUUCUCUAUGGAUUAUAAACUAUUUUACUAACCAUAGAUUCAUCAAAAUAAGCAAACAACACACGAAAACAGAAUCUGUCAAAAAUAGAACAGUCUGUAGUAAUCUGUAGCUAGAGCAAGAUCUGGAACCCCAAAAAUUCUAAAAUAAAUUGCUGGACGUGAGGAAUUUAUCUAUUAAUCAUCUGCAAAAAGAAUUAACUAAAUAUCACUAUUCAAAUAAAAAUGACAGCAGUUCUCGUGAGCGCUGAAGUUUCUAUUUUUUACAGCAAGUUCAACAAAACUUUCCCCAAGUCUUCCCAACGGUUCUACUUGGCACAAACACUAAUUAAACACAAAAAAAAUUGUAACAUCCCAAAUUUUCAAUAUGGAAUGCUAUACACUAGAUCAUCAUUGCAUAUCAUAUUUAUUGCAUUUUGGUUGAUCCUAGAAAUUUCACGCAACUCAAGGACCCUCGGAGAGAGUUGGGGAUUUCGUUAUUUUCAUAUUUGAGUUGUCUCAAAUUUUGAAAAUAGGAUCAUUUGAUUUUAUUUAUUUUAUCUUCAAUUAUUUCUAUUACAAAAAUAUGAGAGAGGGAAUAAAAUGACUUUCCCAAAAAUAAAGAAAUAUUAAGGAUUUAAUAAAAAAAUCAAAUAAGAUUUUAUUUGGUUUUAUUUGCUAUUUUAUUUGAAUUUAGGAAAAAUGCGCAUUUUUCAAAAUUGCAUUUAGGCCCCAAAUAAAUGUUCAUCCUGUGUAGCUUGAUUUUAGAAGCCGGGGAAAAUUUAUUUCGGGAUUUUUGGAGUCCGUUUAGUAUUUCUUUUGUUUUUUCUUCAAGCGUAAUUAUUUAAAAAAAAGUUCGAACCGACCUUGGUCCGUAACCGGCCAGGACUCCUCCUGGCCGGGCCUUUUUAUAGUGCCCCGAGGACCCGGCCGAAGCCCAAGCCGCCCCACCCGAAAACCCUAACCCUAGCCGGCCCCCGCCACCGCCGCNNNNNNNNNNNNNNNNNNNNNNNNNNNNNNNNNNNNNNNNNNNNNNNNNNNNNNNNNNNNNNNNNNNNNNNNNNNNNNNNNNNNNNNNNNNNNNNNNNNNNNNNNNNNNNNNNNNNNNNNNNNNNNNNNNNNNNNNNNNNNNNNNNNNNNNNNNNNNNNNNNNNNNNNNNNNNNNNNNNNNNNNNNNNNNNNNNNNNNNNNNNNNNNNNNNNNNNNNNNNNNNNNNNNNNNNNNNNNNNNNNNNNNNNNNNNNNNNNNNNNNNNNNNNNNNNNNNNNNNNNNNNNNNNNNNNNNNNNNNNNNNNNNNNNNNNNNNNNNNNNNNNNNNNNNNNNNNNNNNNNNNNNNNNNNNNNNNNNNNNNNNNNNNNNNNNNNNNNNNNNNNNNNNNNNNNNNNNNNNNNNNNNNNNNNNNNNNNNNNNNNNNNNNNNNNNNGCCGCCUCCGUUCGCCGGAGUCGCCGGAGAUAGUUUUUUUUCGUCUCCGUUUUUUCUCGAAAAACCGUUCGAUUUUCCGAUGGUUUUGUCCAUUUUUUUUGUUUUGGUUUUUUAAAUAGAUCGGUUUUCCGGUUUAUUUAAAUAGCGAGCGUUCGCCUGUUCAUUCGUUUUAACGAAUGUUCGUUGUUUUUCUUUUCUCGGAAUUAAAUCCGCGAUUUUUCUGAUCGCGAUUUCUGAUCCGAUUUUCGUUUUAGUCUAACUUUUCGCUCGUUUAUCGGAAUCAGGCGAUUCAAGUGCCUGGAGUUUCAUCUCGAAACCCUCUUUCCGUUUAACCAACUCAAACAAGUUUUUUCCAUAGUAAAAAUUGCCCUAUAUCCAGAAUAGUAACCGAAGCCUGUUUGUUUUGCCGUUUGUCUUUCGUUGCUUCGUUUGGUUUGAUUCUUUUUGCCAACCGGAGUUCUUAAGUUGAAUCUUCUGGUUAGAUCUCUUAUUUGAGUUUUGCCUAUGCAUUAGUUGAGUACUUAUUGUAUGCUUGUUUGUUGCGAUAGAGUACUCAGAGUGCGCCGCUUGCUACUUCGAAUCGCUAGGUUUCCCGGAUCAUCAGCAAGGCAAGUAACACUUUGAUCAUACUUUCCCACUACCCAGUUUUACUGCAUUAGAUCAAUCCUCACACAUUGCAUGAUUAGGAUCUAAUUAAAUUGUGGGUUUGGGAAGUAGUUGAGGUAGUACCUAUUACCUGUUUAUUAUCAAACCUUUGGGAGUUACUUCUACGUUUGCUUAUUAUGCCAUGCUAUGCUAGUAGACGUGGAUUGGGUGAGUGUAUCCAUGACAGAGGUGAGAUUGUUAAUUAAUGGUUUAUCUAAGGUGGCAACUUAAACACACAUCUGGGUGGACUGAGGCACCUGGGUAUUCCAGCGAUUGCCUGUUAUUCUUUUGGACUGCCACCCAAGCUCAAAGGGAUCAUGAGAUUAUUCAUGCUAGAAACUUCCGUGUGCAGCCACAAGCUAUUAUGGGCUCUAGCAUAGUUAAUUAAGUUGUGCAAACUCUUACAGUGGUAGACUAGCAGAUAUAGGGGAAAGUAGGUGUAACAGUCUACCCGAUCGUAAGGUGCUAGCGCUUCUGAAAGACUAUGUUUCAGUCAUCCGUCUUCUCAAACACCAUGUAGUGCGAGAAACCAAACGGAGGCGAUCGAGUCUUGUGGGGAAAAGUGCGCAAACCUUUGCAGAGUGUAUAAACUAAUCAUGAUUAGCCGUGUCCCCCCUUUAUGGACAUCUUGAGUAUCUAGUACCUGGAUUAUCAUGUGAAUCUCAACAUGUUACUCUAAAAUUUAAUUUUGUUGGGUUUUGUUUAAUGAUGAUGCUUAAUUGGGAUUGAGAAUGCUGUCAACCAUUCUCAAUGUUUAACAACUACCAUGAUAGUUAAAUAAAAUUUAUUCCUUUGCAGUAGGGAAAAAUUGGCUUUACGCAAAACUGUAACCAUAGAGCUUUCCACCAGCCAAAUAUGCAUAUAGAAUAGCCUGUUUCAUUCCAUUACUCUCUAUGUGUUACUUUGCCAGCAUAUUCCAUGUGCUGACCCAUUUCGGGCUGCAACGUUAAUGUUGCAGACUUCUCAGAUGACGAUUAAGGAGUUUUUAGGUCGUGGUUCUAUACUCAAUGAUGCUGUUGGAGUUGAUGGACUCACUUAUCUUCCAAGCCUUCCGUUGUUGUUGUUAUUAGAUGGCCUUAAGCCAUAUUUAUUGUAAUAAGUUCUCUUUCGAGACACUCGAUGUAAUAAGUGUGUGAUUGCUACUCUGUUAUAAAUCCUUCAAGUACUGUGUGGUGUUAGCAUUACUGAUCCAGGGAUGACACCUGAGCACAGAGAUUGGACCGUUUGAGGUAUGGUCGCUACAAGAUGGUAUCAGAGCACAUGCUGGCUGUAGGACACGACCACUAAGCUAAAGACCUAGAUCUCUACUUACUCUCUUCUCUUUCUGACUUCGCGUCUUUUCUACUCUUUUAGGAUGGUGGAUGCAAGGAACAAGUUCACGCAACUAGAUGAAGAUACACCCUUUGGACGUCACUUGAAGGAAGUCACUAGAUACCUAAACAUAGGAGUACCAAGCUUCACCGGAACCUACAACGCCACUUUACCUGAAGAGGAGCGCUGGAUAAUUCAAGUUCAAGUUCCAGGAAGGACGUUCAUGCCAGUCACUGAGCCCAUAGAGUUUUCUUUUGAUGCACCAACUUGGAGUCUAGGAAAGAGCAUGGCAGCUCACAUCGCCAUGGGACGUAUUGGAGAAGUCUACCGCAAUGAUCUUAAGGAUACUAUCUACCAGAUUUGUGGGCGCUGAGAUGAGCACUGGGAGAUGAUCAGCACCAGAAAGGAUAGAUCAGUUGCAGCUUUUAUCCAGGAGUUAAACCAACACAUUCGACGUCAGGAAAACCAGAUGUGCGCCGACAUGAUAGAUCAGAAGAAGGCGAGGACAAGAAUCACGGAACUGGAGGAAGAACUCAAGGCUACACGUGAAGAUUAUGAAGAGGAAAUCGAAGUAUUAGUGGAUAAGAAUGACAAUCUGAUCAAGAAGAUUGGAAUAUUCAUGGGAGGCCCUACACCAGUAGAAGAAGAUGAAGAACCCAAGGAGAUUCGUCCGGAAGACUACCUCAUCAUCGACGACACCAACUCGGACCUAGAUGAUAGCGAUGAUGACUACGUUGAUGAAGCUGGAGCAGAUAUCAUGGAGUCUGCAACCGAAGAAUAUUUUUAGUAGACCACCUCAUCAGUAGUAGUAGUCCACCAUGUAAAUAUAGUAGUCCGAGCACUUUUGCGAUAGUUAGAUCAAUUGUAUGCCUUUGUUUGAUUGAUUGAAUGAAGUGAAUUGUUUGCUUUUGCCUCAUGUGCAUAUGGGUAGUGUUUUCUCAUUAGACCCCUCUCUAUUCUUAAAUCUCAUAUUUUCUAAAACCUCAGAUGCCUCCGAGAUGUGACCCCGGAUUUACCUUCCCACCGGAGCUCACCCAAUUGAUGCAGCAGCAGAACACAUUGAUGCAGUUGUUAGUCCAGAAUCAGAAUCAGGGGAACAACAACAACAACCCACCACCACCACCACCACCUAUUGAUCACUUAGCCCAUUUUCUUAGGCUGAAUCCGCCGGUGUUUUCCAGUAGCACCGAGCUGAUAGUAGCAGAUGAUUGGCUCCGCAAGACAGCUAGAGAGUUGACCACAGCAGGAUGCACGGAUGCGGAAAAGGUGAAGUUUGCCGCACAUCAGCUUGAAGGACCCGCAACAUCAUGGUGGGAGAAUUUCACAGCCACUUUCCCUGUUGACACUAUCACAUGGGACCAGUUUCAGCAGGCUUUUCGAACUGCCCAUGUUUCAGCAGGAUCUAUGACCAUGAAGAAGCGAGAGUUUCGCAAUUUGCGCCAAGGAGGACGGACAGUUGGCCAGUAUGUGGAGGACUUUAGUAAAUUAGCACGUUAUGCCCCAGAUGACGUUGCUACGGGUGCAUCUAAGCAGGAGAAGUUUCUGGAAGGACUGAAUGAUGAUUUGAGCAUGCAGUUGAUGGUAGCCACCUUCAACAGCUACCAGGAGUUGGUAGAUCGUGCUCUCAUGAUUGAAGGGAAGCAACAACAGAUUGAGAAUCGCAAGAGGAAGUAUGGACAAAGGAAGCACAAUUCAGGAGCUCAGCAGAAGCCACGUUUUACCCCUAGACCGGGAGGACAUUUUCAGCAUACCCAUGGAGGAAGUAGCUCGCACAAUCACAACGACACCAAGAAUGGUAAUGGGAAUGGAGGAAGCAACGACCAGAACCGCACCAACCCAUCGACCCCAGCCAAGAGAGACCUGAGCCAAGUCACUUGUUUUAAGUGCCAGAAGACCGGACAUUAUGCCAAUGAAUGUCCUGAAUCCCAGAAUGGAAAUGGCAAUGGGAGCUUUGGGAAGAAGCCAAACCCUUUCAACAGGGGACAGGUGAACCACGUUAACGUGGAGGAGGUUGAAGAGCAGCCGGAUGCAGUAAUCGGUAAGUUUUUGGUUAAGUCAUUUACUGCACUUGUUCUUUUUGAUACCGGUGCACCGCAUUCAUACAUAUCAAGGGGAUUUGUGGAUAAGUAUAACCUGCCCACCAAAGUUCUUAGAACACCUAUGUUAGUAAGCUCACCAGGAGCGGAGUAUAUGGCUAGCCAAGGAUGUUUUCAAGUGCCAUUAAGUAUAGGUAGGCAUGUGUUCCCCUCGGAUUUGAUAAUAUUGGAAUCACAAGGUUUGUAUGUAAUUCUGGGUAUGGAUUGGUUGUCGAUGUAUGGAGGAAACAUCGAUUGCGCCAGUAAGUUGAUCUUGCUUACCACCCCAGAAGGGAGAAGGAUCAAGUAUGUAUCCCGACAUGUGCCGAAGAGGACUCAAGUAAAUUGUUUAAUAGGAGUUGUGUAGAAGGAAGUACCAGUAGUGAAGGAUUUCCCUGAUGUAUUUCCAGAAGAAUUGCCAGGCAUGCCACCGGAUAGAGAUAUUGAGUUUUUGAUUGAGCUUUUGCCAGGCACAGGGCCAAUAUCAAAGAGACCAUAUAGGAUGUCCGCAAAAGAUUUGGUGGAGAUUAAGAAGCAAAUUAAGGAGUUACUGGAUAAGGGAUAUAUUCGCCCAAGUUCAUCGCCUUGGGGAUCACCAGUACUUCUAGUGGAAAAGAAGGAUGGAUCGUUAAGGAUGGUUGUUGAUUAUCGAGGAUUGAAUGAAGUAACCAUCAAGAACAAAUACCCACUACCGAUGAUCAAUGAUCUGUUUGAUCGAUUGCAAGGAGCUAAGGUAUUUUCCAAGAUCGAUCUGCGAUUAGGAUACCAUCAGUUAAAGAUUCGAGAACAGGAUAUACCUAAGACGGCUUUUACCACCAGGUAUGGGCUGUACGAGUAUACUGUUAUGUCAUUUGGUCUGACUAACGCACCUGCAUAUUUUAUGAACAUGAUGAACAAAGUGUUUAUGGAGUUCUUGGAUAGGUUCGUCGUAGUUUUCAUUGAUGAUAUCCUGGUUUACUCAAAAAAUGAAGAGGAGCAUAAGGAGCAUUUGCGUUUGGUACUUGGAAAGCUCAGAGAACAUCAAUUAUAUGCCAAGUUUAGCAAAUGUGAGUUUUGGUUGAAGGAAGUUGGAUUUCUCGGACAUGUUAUAUCCGGAGAAGGUAUAGUAGUAGAUCCCACUAAAGUUGAUACCAUGACCAAGUGGGAAGCACCAACAACAGUUGGAGAGAUCCGGAGUUUUCUUGGACUCGUAGGAUACUACCGGAGGUUUAUUGAGAAUUUCUCAAAGAUUGCGAAGCCUAUGACGGAGUUGUUAAAAAAGUAUACCAAGUUCAAAUGGACUGAGGAAUGUGAGGCUAGUUUCCAGGAGUUGAAGAAACGUUUGGUUACCUCACCAGUAUUGAUUUUGCCAGAUCAAACCAAGGAUUAUGAGGUGUAUUGCGACGCUUCACGUCGAGGACUUGGAGCAGUGCUUAUGCAGGAAGGAAGAGUUGUUUCAUAUGCCUCACGAUAGCUUAAGCCCCAUGAGUUGAAUUAUGCUAUGCAUGAUUUGGAGUUAGCAGCCGUAGUGCAUGCAUUGAAGACUUGGAGACAUUUUCUGAUUGGAAACCAUUGCGAGGUGUACACGGAUCACAAGAGUUUGAAGUAUAUUUUCACACAGAAGGAGUUGAACCUCAGACAAAGGAGAUGGUUGGAGCUCAUCAAGGAUUAUGAUAUGAAAUUGCACUAUCACCCCGGAAAGGCUAACGUAGUAGCUGACGCGUUAAGCCGUAAGAGCCAUGUCAACACCCUAAUGACGGGAGAUUUACCAAGGGAGCUAGCAGAAAAUCUUCGAGAGCUAUGUUUGGAAAUAGUUCCAAGAGGCCAUGUAGCCGCAUUGGAGAUUCAGUCUACUUUGAUGGAUAAGAUCAGAGAAGCCCAGAAGACUGACAAGGAGAUUGCUUCUAUUAAGGAGAAAAUGAGCAAAGGAAAAGCUAAGGGAUUUCAUGAGGAUGAGCACGAUACCUUAUGGUUUGAAGACCAUGUCUAUGUACCAAAUGAUUCGGAGAUCAGGAAGUUAAUUUUACAAGCGGCCCAUGAUUCACCGUAUUCGAUUCACCCAGGAAAUACCAAGAUGUAUUUGGAUUUGAAGGAUAUUUUCCGGUGGACCGGAAUGAAGAAGGAUAUUGCGGAAUAUGUAGCGGUUUGUGAUGUAUGUCAGAGAGUAAAGGCAGAGCAUCAGAAGCCAGCAGGAUUGCUACAGCCAUUGCCGAUACCCGAAUGGAAGUGGGAUAAGUUAGGCAUGGAUUUUAUUACAGGAUUGCCCAGAACACGUUCAGGCUAUGACUCGAUAUGGGUUGUAGUCGAUCGUUUGACAAAGGUAGCUCAUUUCAUUCCAGUAAAGACUACCUAUACCAGUGCAAAGUUGGCAAAGAUAUAUAUGACCAGAAUCGUUUGUCUGCAUGGAGUUCCAAGGAGCAUAGUAUCAGAUAAAGGAACCCAAUUUACCUCAAAGUUCUGGAAUCAGUUGCAUGAAACUUUGGGAACCAGACUGGAGUUUAGCACAGCUUUCCACCCGCAGACAGAUGGACAGACUGAGAGAGUCAAUCAGAUUCUGGAGGAUAUGCUAAGAGCUUGUGGGCUAGAUUACGGAUCUAGUUGGGACGAGAAUUUGCCAUAUGCAGAGUUCUCUUACAACAACAGCCAUCAAUCCAGUUUGAAGAUGACCCCUUUUGAAGCCUUGUACGGAAGGAGGUGCAGGACCCCAUUGUCUUGGGAUGAAGUUGGAGAUCGCCAGUUGUUUGGACCAGAUCUGAUAAGGGAGUCUGAACAGAAAGUGAAAUUGAUUCGCGAUAGGCUCAAGGUAGCCUAAUCCAGGCAGAAGAGCUACGCAGAUUCUAAACGCAAGGAGACAAUUUAUGAAGUCGAAGACCGAGUUUAUCUUCGAGUAUCACCACUUCGAGGAGUUAAGCGCUUUGGAGUUAAGGGAAAGUUAGCGCCACGUUUUGUAGGCCCAUACAAAGUUUUGGAGCGUAUGGGAGAAGUAGCCUACAGGUUGGAAUUGCCCAAAGGAUUGUCGGGAGUUCACGACGUGUUCCAUGUAUCCUAGUUGAAGAAGUGCCACGCAGAGAUGGCUGAAAUACCGCUGAGAGAUACGGUACCACUGGAAGCAAUUCAGUUGGACAGUGAUUUGACCUAUGAGGAGAAACCAGUUAAGAUUCUAGAGUAUGCCAGUCGAGUCACCCGCAGCAAGGUUAUCAAGUUUUGCAAGGUUCAGUGGAGCCACCACACGAAGGAUGAAGCCACCUGGGAACGAGAGGAAGAUUUGCUGAAGGACCACCCUCACCUAUUUUCUAGCCAACCCAAAUCACAAGGGCGAGAUUCAUCUUAAGGGGGGUAGGUUUGUAACAUCCCAAAUUUUCAAUUUGGAAUGUUAUACACUAGAUCAUCAUUGCAUAUCAUAUUUAUUGAAUUUUGGUUGAUCCUAGAAAUUUCACGCAACUCAAGGACCCUCAGAGAGAGUUGGGGAUUUCGUUAUUUUCAUAUUUGAGUUGUCUCAAAUUUUGAAAAUAGGACCAUUUGAUUUUAUUUAUUUUAUCUUCAAUUAUUUCUAUUACAAAAAUAUGAGAGAGGGAAUAAAAUGACUUUCCCAAAAUAAAGAAAUAUUGAGGAUUUAAUAAAAAAUCAAAUAAGAUUUUAUUUUGGUUUUAUUUGCUAUUUUAUUUGAAUUUAGGAAAAAUGCACGUUUUUCAAAAUUGCAUUUAGGCCCCAAAUAAAUGUUCAUCCUGUGCGGCUUGAUUUUAGAAGCCAGGGAAAAUUCAUUUCGGGAUUUUUGGAGUCCGUUUAGUAUUUCUUUUGUUUUUUUCCGAGCGUAAUUAUUAAAAAAAAGUCUGAACCGACCUUGGGCCGUAACCGGCCAGGACUCCUCCUGGUCGGGCCUUUUUAUAGCGCCCCGAGGACCCGGCUGAAGCCCAGGCCGCCCCACCUGAAAACCCUAACCAUAGCCGGCCCCCGCCGCCGCCGCUGGNNNNNNNNNNNNNNNNNNNNNNNNNNNNNNNNNNNNNNNNNNNNNNNNNNNNNNNNNNNNNNNNNNNNNNNNNNNNNNNNNNNNNNNNNNNNNNNNNNNNNNNNNNNNNNNNNNNNNNNNNNNNNNNNNNNNNNNNNNNNNNNNNNNNNNNNNNNNNNNNNNNNNNNNNNNNNNNNNNNNNNNNNNNNNNNNNNNNNNNNNNNNNNNNNNNNNNNNNNNNNNNNNNNNNNNNNNNNNNNNNNNNNNNNNNNNNNNNNNNNNNNNNNNNNNNNNNNNNNNNNNNNNNNNNNNNNNNNNNNNNNNNNNNNNNNNNNNNNNNNNNNNNNNNNNNNNNNNNNNNNNNNNNNNNNNNNNNNNNNNNNNNNNNNNNNNNNNNNNNNNNNNNNNNNNCCCGCCGGACCACCGCCGCCGCCGUUUGUCGGAGUCGCCGGUGGUAGUUUUUUUUCAUCUCCGGUUUUUCGACAGUUUUGUUCGUUUUUUUGUUUCGAUUUUUUAAGUAGAUCGGUUUUCCGGUUUAUUUAAAUAGUGAGCGUUCGCCCGUUCGUUCGUUUUAACGAACGUUCGUCGUUUUUCUUUUCUCGGAAUUAAAUCCGUGAUUUUUCUGAUCGCGAUUUCUGAUCUGAUUUUCGUUUUAGUCUAACUUUUCGCUCGUUUAUCGGAAUCAGGCGAUUCAAACGCCUGGAGUUUCGUCUCGAAACCCUCUUUCUGUUUAACCAACUUAAACAAGUUUUUGCUACUGUAAAAAUUGCCCUAGAUCCAGAAUAGUAAAUAAAGCCUGUUUCUUUUGCCAUUUGUCUUUCGUUGUUUCGUUUGAUUUGAUUCUUUUUGCCAACUGGAGUUCUUUAGUUGAACCUUCUGGUUAGAUCUCUUAUUUGAGUUUUACCUGUGCAUUAGUUGAGUACUUAUUGUAUGCUUGUUUGUGGCGAUAGAGUACCCGGAGUGCGCCGCUUGCUACUUUGAAUCGCUAGGUUUUCCGGAUCAUCAGCAAGGCAAUUAACACUUUGAUCAUACUUUCCCACUACCCAGUUUUACUGCAUUAGAUCAAUCCACACACAUUGCAUGAUUAGGAUCUAAUUAAAUUGUCGGUUUUGGAAGUAGUUGAGGUAGUACCUAUUACCUGUUUAUUAUCAAACCUUUGGGAGUUACUUCUACGUUUGCUUAUUAUGCCAUGCUAUGCUAGUAGACGUGGAUUGGGUGAGUGUAUCCAUGACAGAUGUGAGAUUGUUAAUUAAUGGUUUAUCUAAGGUGGCAACUUAAACACACAUCUGGGUGGAUUGAGGCACCUGGGUAUUCCAGCGAUUGCCUGUUUUUCUUUUGGACCGCCACCCAGGCUCAAAGGGAUCAUGAGAUUAUUCAUGCUAGAAACUUCCGUGUGCAGCCACAAGCUAUUAUGGGCUCUAGCAUAGUUGAUUAAGUUGUGCGAACUCUUACCGUGGAAGACUAGCAGAUGUAGGGGAAAGUAGGUGUAACAGUCUACCCGAUCGUAAGGUGCUAGCGCUUCUGAAAGACUAUGUUUCAGUCAUCCGUCUUCUCAAACACCAUGUAGUGCGAGAAACCAAACGGAGGCAAUCGAGUCUUGUGGGGAAAAGUGCGCAAACCUCUGCAGAGUGUAUAAACUAAUCAUGAUUAGCCGUGUCCCCCGUUAUGGACAUCUUGAGUAUCUAGUACCUGGAUUAUCAUGUGAAUCUCAACAUGUUACUCUAAAAUUUAAUUUUGUUGGGUUUUGUUUAAUGAUGAUGCUUAAUUGGGAUUGAGAAUGCUGUCAACCAUUCUCAAUGUUUAACAACUACCAUGAUAGUUAAAUAAAAUUUAUUCCUUUGCAGUAGGGAAAAAUUGGCUUUACGCAAAACUGUAACCAUAGAGCUUUUCACCAGCCAAAUAUGCAUAUAGAAUAGCCUGUUUCAUUCCAUUACUCUCUAUGUGUUACUUUGCCAGCAUAUUCCAUGUGCUGACCCGUUUCGGGCUGCAACAUUAAUGUUGCAUACUUUUCAGACGACGAUUAAGGAGUUUUUAGGUCGUGGUUCUAUACUCAAUGAUGCCGUUGGAGUUGAUGGACUCACUUAUCUUCCAAGCCUUCCGUUGUUGUCGUUAUUAGAUGGCCUUAAGCCAUAUUUAUUGUAAUAAGUUCUCUUUUGAGACACUCGAUGUAAUAAGUGUGUGAUUGCUACUCUGUUAUAAAUCCUUCAAGUACUGUGUGGUGUCAGCAUUACUGAUCUAGGGAUGACACCUGAGCACAGAGAUUGGACCGUUUGAGGUCUGGUCGCUACAAAAACACAACCAAAACAGAGGCUAAAUAAUUUAUUUAUUACUAAACAGGAGCUAAAAGCAAGGAAAAAAAUAAAAUUGGGUUGCCUCCCAACAAGCGCUAUCGUUUAAUGCCCCUAGCUAGGCAUAAAAGCGAAGAUAGAUCUAGGUUGUGCCGUAGUAAUAAGAUAGACCGGUGAAACUCAUUUCAUAUUCUCUAUGUUUGGCAGCAAGUUUCCUUUGAGGCAAGCAAAGGUAAUCAAAAGGGCUGAAUUUAAUAGGACAGAAGUCCCCAAGAUCAAUUUUAGGAGGUAUAGGUUCCUCUUUCGGCCCUUCAUAUUGUACAACCAAUUCAUCAUUAUAAGCAUUCUUUUGACAGAACCUUGUGAGCCUAAACUUAAGAGAGCACCCUAGCUCGUUAUUUCGAUUAGCCAAAUCAUCAUUAAGUUCAGAGAUUCUAUCAAUUAAAAUAUUGAUUGGCACAUUUUUCUAAGGUUUUCAUUAAAAGCAACAUAAUCAAGGGAUUGAAAGCGCAUAAUUUCUUCUUGAUCGAAGAGGAUAGAUUCUAUGGGAGGACGACUAGCGUCCACCCUAUAGUGCGCAAAGAUUUCUUUGGCUUCUUUUGUUAUAAAUCUAAAUUCAUGAAAAAAGAUAGUAGCGGCACGCUUAACAGAAGAUGCUCGAUAUUAGAAAAUUCUAGGAAAAUUCUUUGUAUAGAUGGGUGCAUAUGCAUAAAUUGCCUUUCAAGUUCAACGAUAAGCAUGGCAAUAGCGUCCGCAAGACUACUAGUUCUAUGAAGAAUAGAACUGCCCGUAGAGGGUAAAGCACCGGCACAAGUAAAGAAAUCUUGAAUAACUCCUUUUCCAAUAAUAUUACCACUACCGAUUCGAAAUCUUUUUGUAUGGUAGGUAGGGGGUUCUUCAGCCAGAGCAUCAGAAUUUUCUAUGACAUUUUUAUCGCCCAUAUUGGCGAUAACUUCCCCAAUUUCCGACAUAACGACAAGCAAGCAAACAAGCACGCGAGCAAACAAAAGGCAAGCAGAAAGGAGAGGGAGGAAAGAGAGAGAGAGAGGGCGAAUAAAACAGCAAGGCUGAAGUGGGGGAGAGGAAAACGAGAGGCAAAUGGCAAAUAAUGUAAUGCGAGAGAUAGGGAUUGUGAUGGGUACUUGGUAUGUUGACUUUUUGCGUAGACUCCUCGGCAACGGCGCCAGAAAUGGCUCGUUGUCGGGAGUCAAAUCUUGACUUGCACAAACAUCCCUGGCAACGGCGCCAGAAAUCCUUCUUGCUACGUCUUGAGAUUGCGUUGGUUUUACCCGAAGAGGAAGGGAUGAUGCAGCAGAGUAGCGUAAGUAUUUCCCUCAGUUUUUGAGAACCAAGGUAUCAAUCCAGUAGGAGGCCAUGCUCAAGUCCCUCAUACCUGCACAAAAUGAUAGCUACUCACAACCAACGCGAUUAGGGGUUGUCAAUCCCUUCAUGGUCACUUACGAGAGUGAGAUCUGAUAGAUAUAAUAUUUUUGGUAUAAAGAUGCAAAGUAAAAAGUAAAGGCAAAGUAAAAAGCAAAGCAAGAUUAAAGUGAUGGAGAUUGAUAUGAUGAGAAUAGACCCGGGGCCAUAGGUUUCACUAGUGGCUUCUCUCAAGAGCAUAAGUAUUCUACGGUGGGUGAACAAAUUACUGUUGAGAAAUUGACAGAAUUGAGCAUAGUUAUGAGAAUAUCUAGGCAUGAUCAUGUAUAUAGGCAUCACGUCUGUGACAAGUAGACCGAAACAAUUCUGCAUCUACUACCAUUACUCCACUCAUCGACCGCUAUCCAGCAUGCAUCUAGAGUAUUAAGUUAAAAACAGAGUAACGCCUUAAGCAAGAUGACAUGAUGUAGAGAGAUAAAUUCAUGCAAUAUGAAAUAAACCCCAUCUUGUUAUCCUCGAUGGCAACGAUGCAAUACGUGCCUUGCUGCCCCUUCUGUCACUGGGAAAGGACACCGCAAGAUCGAACCCAAAGCUAAGCACUUCUCCCAUGGCAAGAACUACCAAUCUAGUUGGCCAAACCAAACGGAUAAUUCGAAGAGACUUGCAAAAAUAACCAAUCAUACAUAAAAGAAUUCAGAGAAGAUUCAAAUAUUAUUCAUAGAUAGACUUGAUCAUAAACCCACAAUUCAUCGGUCUCAACAAACACACCGCAAAAAGAAGAUUACAUCGAAUAGAUCUCCACAAGAGAGGGGGAGAACUUUGUAUUGAGAUCCAAAAAGAGAGAAGAAGCCAUCUAGCUACUAACUAUGGACCCGAAGAUCUGAGGUAAACUACUCACACUUCAUCGGAGAGGCUAUGAUGAUGUAGAAGCCCUCCGUGAUGACGGCCCUCUCCGGCGGAGCUCCAGAACAGGCCCCAAGAUGGGAUCUCGUGGAUACAGAAAGUUGCGGCGGUGGAAUUAGGUUUUUGGCUUCGUAUCUGUUUGUUUGGGGGUACGUAGGUAUAUAUAGGAGGAAGGAGUACAUCGGUGGAGCAUCGAGGGGCCCAUGAGGCAGGGGGCGCGCCCUAGGGGGGGGGGGCGCCCCCACCCUCGUGACCGCCUCUCUGAUGCCUUGGCGUAGGGUCCAAGUCUCCUGGAUCAUGUUCGGUGAGAAAAUCACAUUUCCGAAGGUUUUAUUCCGUUUGGACUCCGUUUGAUAUUCCGUUUCUUUGAAAUACUGAAAUAGGCAAAAAACAGCAAUUCUGGGCUGGGCCUCCGGUUAAUAGGUUAGUCCCAAAAAUAAUAUAGAAGUGGAAAAUAAAGCCCAAUAUAGCCCAAAACAGUAGAUAAUAUAGCAUGGAGCAAUAAAAAAAUAUAGAUAUGUUGGAGACGUAUCACUCUCUUUUAUAGAUGACCAUCAUGCUACACCCAUCUAGGAUACGGCACAACGGAGACACAGGCGCAGACGUGUAGCAGGGACCCAUUCCAAGGAUUCUUUUUAGAUUAAGACCCUGCAUAAACCUUUCUUACUGUCUCUUGUUGAUACACAUCCUUCGGAUUCUCAGUACUAUUGAGAAGGAUGCUGGCGUCUUGGCAUGUGGCCACGUCAGAAUAAUGCACGUACCUGGACACCAGGGGCUUCUUAUAAAGGGCACUGUUUAGGCCCAGUUUAUACCAUAAAGACCGAAUACCUUAGGGAGUGUUCGGCGUCGCGAGUUUGGCCUUAUAUGCAUCAGCUCCGAAUCAUGUCUUUGGUCAAAUGUUGGGUUUUCUCGACUCCUGUGUUUUGCUACCAUACGUUCCGCUCUAUCGGCUAAGGCGGCACCAGGAGAACUACUGCGAUUGUGCUGCGGUUCAUCCGGACAAGCACCUCAGUAGAGAAAGUCGAAAAUUGACUGUCAUGAUAUAGCGUGAGACUGGUCAACCACUCGAUGACCUAUCGGAAUGUUAGAAUUCCUCCGCCUUAACGAAGGGCCAUUUCCCGGCCAGGCAUGUACGCACCCCGAAUUCGGGAGAGUGCAGAGCCACCAGGGGCUAUAUAGUAGCCCCACCGUCAAACUCCUAUGGCUAAGUGAAAGUGUUAAAGCAUUAUAGUCCGGUUGCCUCGUUCGCUGCGCUAUCACCUCCUUAAUAGGACCAAGACGUUGGGUUAAGUGUGAACACGCGUCUUCUGCGAACACCUCCGCAUUAUAUGCGUGGGGGUUGAAGCCGACGACUGCAAUCUUUCAGGUUAUAUACAUAUAUACAUAAACGGCCGCACAAGAGGCAUCAUAUUACUUCCAGGCAAAAGUAUAAAUACAACCUUAAUAAAUUUCAUAAAAACAUUGUGUUUACAAUGGGAAUACAUGUCACUCAAGCAUAAUAUUCUUCGAGCACUGGGCCUCUAUCAAAAGAGCACCCUCGAGAACUUCUUCGAAAUAGUACUCGGCAGCCACUCGGCCUAUGGCUGAACCCUGCGCCGCAACAGUGGUAGCAUCCAUCUCCGCCCAGUAUGCUUUGACACGGGCAAGGGCCAUCCGCGAGCCUUCUAUACACGCCGACCUGUUCAUCACAUUGAUGCGCGACACCGCACCAAGGAACUGCUGCACUAAGCUGAAAUAGCUGUUCGGCUUCGGUUUUUCCGGCCACAGAUGAUCUAUGAUGGACCUCAUGGCGAGUUCGGACAACCUAUUGAGUUCGGCCCAUUCGGCUAGCUGAUCAGUCAAUGGAAGUGGAUGCUCUGGAACGUUAAACUGCGACCAGAACAGCUUGUCCACUUCACGAUCUGUUUGAUCCCGGAAGUAUUCGGCCGCAUCGACAGCGCUCGCCGCCAAGUCCAUAUAUGCGUCUGUCGAACUCCACAGCCGAUCCAGAGGGGCAUACCGCGGAUCUCCGAACUUCCUCCGCAGCAUAAAGGGCUUCCCAGCCGCAAUAUCCCCGGCUUCACGCAGCUCCUCCUUCUUCGCCCUCAUAGCAGAGCGGGUGUCUUUGGUCGCCAUCGUGACCUUUUCAAGGUCCGUCGCCUUCACUCGAUUUUCUUCUUCAAGGAACUGGCACCGGUCAGCAAUGUCUUUUAACUUUACAGCCAUCUUGGCUAUCUUCUCCUUGCUCUCGCAAUGCGUGGCCUUCUCGGCUCUUAACUUUUCGGCUGCCUUCAAAGCAGCCACAUUACUACUCCUUGCUUAUUCUUUGGCUCGGGCAAGUUCCGUCCGAAGGGUCUCCACGGUGGCAGCUCCAUCUGCAGUCACAACAUAUUAAAGAUACUGGCACCACGCUGCUCUUACUAUGUGACAUUCACCAGAAAACAUUACUUACCCUGUGCCGCUUAAGUUCGGCAAACUCAUUAGUCCGGCUAGCCACCGGAGCUUCCACCACCUGCACAUAAAGGCGUUUUGGUUAUUACCUGGGACUACGAUCCUCUGUUCGUCGCCGUUCUCGAUGAUAACCAUAGUCUCAGGGGCUACUAUCUACACAGGGCACACCUAAAAAUGUGCGGUACUAUCAAAAAGUAUAUCAUUUCACGUACCUCAAAGCCCGCCAGUAGACUCAUAAAGGCUUCAUGCAAUCUGCAUUCGGCGGACGAAAUUCUUUCCAUCACCGUACCCAUCAACGUACGGUGUUCUUCUGAGAUGGCCGCUCGCUCCAACAGCUCCCUCAGUACGUCCGACCGUAUACCAGACGGUGCCGGACUCUUUUGUUUGCUCUCUUCAAGAGCCGGACGCUGGGGACUUUGGGUGACUAUAGGAUUAUCUUCUGGCCUCAUCGGAUCUGGAGAGGCCCUCCGUGAUGACACUUCAAGGUCGCCCGCUUCUUGAGCGGGGGAGUCCGGGGGAGGCGUUUCGCUCUCCAUCAUUUCCGGAAGAAGAUCCCCCGAAGACGAGCUCUGCUGAGAAGGGCUAAUAUCCGAACUGCAAGAUAAAUGCUUCGGUUAUUUUCCUCAGAGGUAAGGUAGUAUAUCUUCACUAUUAAAGUACUUUUUGAUUACUUACAGCUCAUUAGAGGGCAGAUCCCCGCGCGGACUUUGUGCGGCAAGAGCACCCUCCAAGGCAGGACCCUCUGGCGGAGACUUCUUCUCCCGUUUGGAAACCUUGGUGUCCGGAUCUUCAGAGGUAGUCCUCUUCCUUCCCCGGUGUGAGAGAAUGUCAGAUUCCUCCCCUUGGUUAUCCUCCCUCACGGAGGCGCCCGUUCCCUCGGUCGGAAUAGGUAGCGGUGGAGGCCCACUUUUGCCCUCUUUAUUCCCCCCUUUAUCUUCCUUUGAGGUCUCCGAGCAAGGUGCUAGCUCGAGCAUCUUUUCCAGUACCGGAUUUUCCAAACCCUCAGGAAGGGGGGCCGAACACCGAAUCAUCUUCGCCUUUGUUAGCCAGUCCUGGUCAAAGAGCAAUUUCUCAGAAUGACGUCAUGAUAAAUGAAAGACGGUGUGUUCGGCUAGAGGAUUACUUACUUGGUCAGCGGUACGGUUGCUGCUCAGGCCCACGUCCUCGGUAGUGUCCGGACACUCCAUUUGGGGUCCAAAGAAUGAUUUAUACAUCUCGUCGUGCGUCAGGCCGAGGAAAUUCUAAAUAGUGCGCGGUCCUUCUGGGUUGAACUCCCACAUGCGGAGGGGCCGACGUUUGCAUGGCUGGAUUCGUCGAACCAGCAUGACUUGCACCACCAUAACCAGACUGAAAUCUCCUUCGAAGAGAUCUUGAAUGCGGCUCUGCAGUACAGGCACAUCCUUGGCUGGACCCCAGCUCAGCCCUCUACUAAUCCAUGACAUCAGUUGUGGUGGAGGGCCCGAGCGGAAAGCAGGGGCAGCCACCCACUUGGCACUUCUAGGGGCUGUGAUGUAAAACCACUCCCGUUGCCAUAAUCCGGACACCUCUGGAAUGGAACCCUUUGGCCAUGAAGCUCCAGCGAUCUUGCUUAUUAAUGCGCCUCCGCAUGCUACAUGCUGCCCCUCGACCAUCUUCGGCUUCACGUCAAAGGUCUUGAGCCAUAGGCCGAAGUGAGGGGUAAUGCGGAGGAAGGCCUCACAUACGACAAUAAAUGUCGAGAUGUGGAGAAAGGAGUCCGGGGCUAGAUCGUGGAAAUCUAGCCCGUAAUAGAACAUCAAACCCCUAAUGAAGGGAUCCAGAGUGAGGCCUAGACCUCGGAGGAAGUGGGAGAUGAACACAACGUUCUCGUUGGGUUCAGGAGUAGGGACGACCUGCCCUCGGGCAGGCAGCCGAUGCGAAACCUCGACGGUCAGGUAUGUGGCCUCCCUCAACUUCUUGAUAUCCUCUUCCGUAAUGGAGGAGGGCAUCCACGGGCCUUGAAGGCUAGAUCCGGACAUGAUUGAAGGUCCGAAGCACCUGACCUGGGCUUUGGGUGUUAGAACUCAAGGCGGGGGAAGGAUUCGAUUGAGCACAAGAGGGAAAAAGUAAAAGCCUUGUCCCUUUAUAAAGAGGGUGAAUAUCAAGCAUCCUCUCCGUAGCCGUUUAGGACUUGCCUAUAAUCUGGGAGUCCUAGACACGGUUGGGUUACCCACGACCGUAUUGAUGAGAAUCCCAUAAUUAGGGGAACACGAUCUCUGCUUUGACAAGACGUGUCAAGAAACCGCCUCGCGUUAUGUGUGGAGCUGGUUGAAGAAAAACGGUUCGAAUAAUCACCGAGCCAUGUCAUGAUGUCAUGUUGCCAAAACGUGUCAGCAGAUUAAUAUUUGUGGAAAUAUUAUUCUCUCUAUGGUGGUAUGUGGAACUUAUUUUGCAGGGUCAGACACUAUCCUUGUAUUCAAAUUCUUCUGUGAUGUGUUCGGAGGACGAACCCGCCUUGCAAUGCCGAAGACAACACUGCGCGCCGGACUCAUCGUCAUUGAAGCCUGGUUCAGGGGCUACUGAGGGAGUCCUGGAUUAGGGGGUCUCCGGAUAGCCGGACUAUAUCCUUUGACCGGACUGUUGGACUAUGAAGAUACAAGAUUGAAGACUUUGUCUCGUGUCCGGAUGGGACUCUACUUGGCGUGGAAGGCAAGCUAGGCAAUACAGAUAUGUAUAUCUACUCCUUUGUAACCGACCUUGUGUAACCCUAGCCCUUCCGGUGUCUAUAUAAACCGGAGGAUUUUAGUCCGUAGGACAAUAUACAAUCAUACCAUAGGCUAGCUUCUAGGGUUUAGCCUCUUCGAUCUCGUGGUAGAUCAACUCUUGUAAUACCCAUAUCAUCAAGAAUAAAUCAAGCAGGACGUAGGGUUUUACCUCCAUCAAGAGGCCCAAACCUGGGUAAAACAUUGUGUCCCCUGCCUCCUGUUACCAUCCGCCUUAGACGCACAGUUCGGGACCCCCUACCCGAGAUCCGCCGGUUUUGACACCGACAACACGACCACGCUAUCUUCCCUCAAUCCCUCUGCUGACUGCUGCCCAGAAUUGGCAAUGGGGUUGUUGUCUGUUGAUACAAAUUUCAAAGAUUAAACAUUUUUUAUCUGCAAUCUUCUUAUGGAGUUGUUUGCCACUGCUGUCAAACAUUCAAGUUCACUUGAAUUGUAUUUGAAUGUGAAUGUUGUUGUUGCUACUGUUAAUGUCAAUUUCAUUUCAUUUUGUAGAAAUAAAAGAUGAAGAGAUAUUUUUCAUCCGUGGCCGCAACAGAAGUGUCUACACUGGGAGUUUUAGCAGGGAAUGAAGGGGCUGAGAGGACUGAAGCAACUCCAGAAAAUGAAACAGCUGCAGAAAUGGGACCACCUCCUUCAAUCUCAACUCAAGAAAGCAACAUUUUUGUUAUUCCUGAUUCUACUCGUGGUCAACUAAGGGAGGCGAUAUUGAACCCGAUCCUGGUCAUAGGAAACCUAUUGAAAGCUUAGAUCCGGAUAUUAGAGAUGUUGCUAGAAGGAUGUAUCUAAAUAUGGGUCCAUGCCAACCAAGUGGUAAUAAAUUUAAAAAAGAAACUAGAGGAAAUUCUUUGAAAAAUAGAUCCUUUCAAGCUAAAUGGUUCAAGAAGCAUUCUGAUUGGUUGGAAUAUCGUGUUGCUAAGGAGGCAACCUUUUGUUUCUAUUGCUUUCUUUUUAAGCAAGCUAGAGCAGAAAACUAUGGUGUUGAGGCAUUCACAACAGUAGGUUCUAAAAAUUGGAAGGAUGGACUUAGUAUUAUUGAUACACAUGUUGGUAAGCAUGAUAGUGCUCACAACAGAGAUUACGAUGAGCCACUUGGUGGCAUUUCGGAAUUUUGGCUUUGGCACCGAUCCAACAGAGAUUAUGUUGGGAAUCGUUGCAUGGAAGACAAAAAAAUUCUACACACACGCAAUGAUCUAUCCAUGGAGAUGCAUAGCAAUGAGGGGAGAGUGUGUCUACAUACCCUCGUAGACCGUAAGCAGGGGCGGAUCUGGGCCCCAGGCUCCCAGGGCCCAGGCCUGGGGCGUGGCAAUUUUUUUAAUUAUUACCUAUGCAUGUUUUUGAAUGGGCCGAGGGCUUGGCCCAAUACACAUCCAUCCAUCCAGGGCCCAGGCCAGGCUGUCCUCCAUCACUCGCUGCCUCGCACCAGGACUGGCUCGCACAGGCGCAUCAGGCCACUACUCGCCCCUUCUCCCUUCGUUCCCUAGACCUAGAUCGAUGCAGGCAGCAGCCGCCGCUGCCCGCCGGUGACUUCCCUCCGGUCCGUGCUCCCCUGCUCGCCUACUCCGCCACUCCCCACCUGCUCACCUGCUCUGGCUCCACGGUCCGCACCUGCUCCACCACCUGCCCGCGCCCUCUGCCGCUCGCCUAGCCUGGGCUGGUCGCCUGGUCCCCUGCUGCUCUGGCCUCGCAGUCUCAACCGCUCCUGGCUCCACGCGGCCAUGCUAUCUUCCCUCAAACCCUCUGCUGACUGCUGCCCAGAAUUGGUAAUGGGGUUGUUGUCUGUUGAUACAAAUUUCAAAGAUUAAACAUUUUUAAUCUGCAAUCUGCUUAUGGAGUUGUUUGGUGCUUCUCUCAAACAUUCAAGUUCACUUGAAUUGUAUUUGAAUGUGAAUGUUGUUGUUGCUACUAUUAGUGUCAAUUUCAUUUCAUUUUGUAGAAAUAAAAGAUGAAGAGAUAUUUUUCAUCUGUGGCCGCAACAGAAGUGUCUACACCGGAGUUUUAGCAGGGAAUGAAGGGGCUGAGAGGACUGAAGCAACUCCAGACAAUGAAACAGCUGCAGAAAUUGGACCACCGCCUUCAAUCUCAACUUGAGAAAGCAACAUUUUUCUUAUUCCUGAUUUUGCUCGUGGUCAACUAAGGGAAGGCGAUAUUGAACCUGAUCCUGGUCGUAGGAAACCUAUUGAAAGCUUAGAUCCGUAUAUUAGAGAUGUUGCUAGAAGGAUGUAUAUAAAUAUGGGUCCAUGCCAACCAAGUGGUCAUAAAUUUAAAAAGGAAACUAGAGGAAAUUCUUUGAAAAAGAGAUCCUUUCAACUAAAUAGUUCAAGAAGGAUUCGAUUGGUUGCAAUAUAGUGUUGCUAAGGAGGCAUCCUUUUCUAUUGCUUUCUUUUUGAGCAACCUAGAGCAGAAAACUAUGGUGUUGAGGCAUUCACAACAAUAGGUUUUAAAAAUUGGAAGGAUGGGCUUAGUAUUAUUGAUACACAUGUUGGUAAACAUGAUAGUGCUCACAAUAAAGCUAGGCAACAAUAUGCGGCUUUCAAAAAUCAAAGGCAAUCUAUUGUAAAUGUGAUGGAUCGUGGCACCAUAAAGACCCAAGAAGAAUAUAGAGCUCGUCUUAUCAUUAUUUUGGGUGUUAUAAGAUUUCUUCUAUUACAAGCUCUUGCUUUUCGUGGCCAUGACGAGAGCUCCAGCUCGAAGAAUAGGUUUUUUUUGGAGAUGAUGAGUUGGUACAAGGAGAAGGAUCUGAAUGCUAAGACUUUGCUUGAUAGUGCGGGCGGGAACCAUUUGAUGACUUCACAUGGGAUACAAUUGCAGCUGUGUCAAGCUUGUGCUGAAGAGACCACCAAAGCAAUUAUUGAUGAUAUUGGAGAUAGAAAUUUUUCUUUACCUGUUGAUGAGUCUAGAGAUGCAUCAAUAAAGGAGCAAAUGGCUAUGGUUUUAAGGUUUGUAACUUUGCAUCUUUUAUGUUAGUUAUUGUUUUGUUCUUUACUAAUAGUAGCAGUAGUAGUGUAGUACCUAAUUGUUGAUUACUCGUGCUUCUUUGUGUUAGGUAGGUAUGUCGAUAAACAUGGGUAUGCGAUUGAGAGGUUCAUUGGGAUUAAGCAUGUUGGUGACACAAGAGCGGCUUCUCUAAAAGCAGCUUUGGAUGGUAUGUUUCUUAAACAUGGCUUGUCUAUGUCUAAAUUGAGAGGGCAAGGGUACAAUGGAGCUUCUAACAUGAGAGGACAAUUUCGUGGGUUGCAAAGGUUGAUACUAGAUGAAAAUCCUUAUGCAUUAUAUAUUCAUUGCUUUGCCCAUCAGUUGCAGUUAGUGGUUGUUGCUGUUGCCAAGUGUUGUUCCUCUGUAUUGGAUUUCUUUAACCACGUAACUUUGAUUGUCAACAUUGUCAAUGCUUCUUGUAGGAGACAUGAUGAACUAGCCCAAGAAUAACAUGAUAAUAUUGUGAGUCAAUUGGAGUCCGGGGAAAUUUUUUCAGGAAGAGGGAAAGACCAAGCAACCAACCUUGUAAGACCUAGCUAGGGAUACACGGUGGGGCUCACAUCAUAAAACUUUGUGUCGGUUUAUUGAGAUGUGGACAUUUGUUUUGCAUGUAUUAGAGAACAUUCGUGAUGAUGCAGAAAAUUUAACACAAAGAACCACAACAGCUGGCUUGAUAUCUCAGAUGGAAACUUUUGAAUUUGUUUUCAUAUUGCAUGUUAUGAUCAAACUAUUGGGCAAGACUAAUGAGUUGUCACAAUGUUUGCAAAGGAAAGAUCAAAACAUUGUUCUAGCAGUGAGUUUGAUUGGGAUCACAUUGCGAAAACUUCAAAAUAUAAGAGAAAAUGGUUGGCAGCAGCUCUUGAAGGACACAACUGACUUUUGUGUUAAGCAUAACAUUAUAUUGCCUAACAUGGAUGAUACAGUAUGUGCUCGGGGUCAUUCAAGGGGGCGUGGUGGUCAAAUGGUAACUUUCUAUCAACGCUUCAGAUAUGAAAUAUUUAAUGUUUUGCUUGACCAAAUAAUUACUGAGUUAAAUAACCGCUUUGCUGAAAGAUCUACUCAAUUGUUGAGAUGCAUUGCUUGUCUUGAUCCAAGGAACUCAUUUGCUAAUUUUGAUGAAGACAAACUUGUUCAACUUGCUGAGAUGUAUGCUGAUGACUUCUCCAUAUAUGAGAUUUCUUUCGUCCUUAAAAACCAACUUGAAAACUUCAUUGCUGAUGUGAGAGCUGAUUCAAGUUUUGUUAGUUGUAAUGACCUUGGUAGUCUUGCUGUGAAGAUGGUUCAGACUAAUAUACACAUGGUCUUUCCUUUGGUAUAUCAUCUUAUUGAGUUGGCAUUGAUUUUGCCUAUUGCAACCACAUCAGUGGAAAGAGCUUUCUCAGCUAUGAGUAUUAUCAAGACUGAGUUGAGGAAUAAGAUGUGUGAUGAUUGGUUGAAUUUUUCCGUGGUGUGCAAUAUUGAGUGAGAAAUUUUUGCAAAGGUUGAUGAUGAUGCUAUUAUAUAUCGCUUUCAAUCCUAUAGAUCUUGCAAAGGAACUUUACCUCGUCGUAGUAGUAAGUUUUCAACUCUGUACAAUGUUAAUUGUUUCACUUGAUGUUUAUGUCUUUUCUUAUGAAAUUUUGCUUUUCAUUUCUUCAAGGUGUUGGCUCUUCUUCCACCGUUGAUCAAGUUAUGGAAGACACUGGUGAAGAAAGCCAUUGAUUUGGUACUCUUUUUACUGCACGUACUGUUCAUAGUUUUUGUCAUCUUUUUUUAUCUAUUUUGUUGUAUCUCUAAGAAUUGAGUUUAAAUUCUAAAUUUUUGAUGCAAUUGAGCCAUAUUUGAGGUAGCUAUAGUUUGAUGGUCGUUAAGUUUUUCUCUCGCGACAAAAAAAUUUUGGGCCCGGGGCUUGCUCCAAUCCUGGCUCCGCUACUGACCGUAAGCGGAAGUGUUUUAACAAUGCGGUUGAUGUAGUCGAACUUCUUCUAGCUUCGACCGAUCAAGCACCAAGCGUACGACACCUCCGAGUUCUGCACAAGUUCAGCUCAGUGACGUCCCUCGCCUUCUUGAUCCAGCAAGACGUCGAGGUAGUAGAUGAGUUUCGUCGGCACGACGGCAUGGUGACGGUGAUGGUGAAGUGAUCCUUGCAGGGCUUCGCCUAAGCACUGCAAAAAUAUAACCGAGGGUGUAAAUGGUGGAGGGGGGCGCCACGCACGACUAGGCAAUUGUCUUGUCUGUGCUAGCCCCCCCCCCACAUAUAUAUAUAGGUGGGAGGGAGAGGGGAGAGGCCAGGAGGCGCCCCAAGUAGGACCAAAUCCUACUUGGGUUCCUCUUAGGCCAGCGCUGAUGAAGCUAUGUACCUAGGGUAGGGUCAUGGAUCUGUCCAACAUACCCUCCCCAAGGACAUCUCUACAAAGAAUCAGAAGCAGUCAAAGAGAAACCAUCAUCCACUCGACCGUGAAGAUGUACUCACUCGACCACCUUGAAGACACUCGACCACCUUGAAGACACUCGACCACCAGAAGAUGAGAAACCCUCCACUCUGUAAUGGUCAGGACUUAAACCAUAGCUUUAUGGGCAUUUACUACACUUUACUACAAACGUUACCAGUAACGCUCCUCCUUUAUGAACAUUGAACCCUGUGUAACGGAGGGGAGCAGGGGUCAUGGCGCACUCUAUAUAAGCCACCCCCUCCUCUAAGACAGGGGUUUGCACUUUCUGUAAUUCACACACAUAUAUUCAGUCGACCGCCUCUGGGCUCCGAGACGUAGGGUUGUUACUUCCUCCGAGAAGGGCCUGAACUCGUAAACUCGUGUGUACAACUCCUCCAUAGCUAGGAUCUUGCCUCUACAUUCCUACCCCCUACUCUACUGUCAGUCUUAGAACUACGACAGUUGGCGCCCACCUUGGGGCAGGUGUCUUAGCGACUUGUUGGAGAAGUUGUAAUUUUUCCGAUCCCCUUCAUCAUGGUUUCAGGCGGAGGUUUGGCUGAGGGCCGCGAGAUCCGUCCCGGCGCGCUCGUGCUUGUCGCCAACGACUCCGCUUGGCUUCAAGAGGCUCCACUCGACGUCGACGCGCUCCCCGCUCGCGGGGCGACGCACUUUCGCGCGUGCGUCCAUGGCGUCCUCCUGCGGCAACCGUCGACCCAGUAUCAGUCGACUCCGUCAGUUUUCCCCCUCCCUGCGGCUCGCCGGAGCAAACCCUCCGGUCGGUCGAGGCUUCAGUGGUGGGUGAGGCAUGCGGUGGCCCGCUAGUCGGCCACCCACAAGUCACGGCGAUCGAGCCCAACGAAACUCUCUACAGCCUGUUCGAUCUGUCGACUGGCUCCGUAGAGACCGCAUCCGAGUGCGAUAGCAGUGACCCAGCGGCUGAAGUUGUGAUGGUCAAUGGACAACGCAGCCCUCCUGGCUUCAACUGUGAAGAUGGAGGCGAUGGGAACGGUGAUCCGUCGCGCGUUCACGAGGAGUACCGCCCCGAACCCCUCUCCUCGCAGCAGAGGGAGGAACUUCGCCGCCGGAACAUGGAUGCACUGCAUACUCCUAUAGUUGGAGAAACCCCUGAGGCCCAGACCUUGGAGCAGGCGCGCUUGGCCAACCUGGCUGAGCACACUCGACUAGAGAACCUCCAACGCACACUCGACGAUCGCGCUCGGCAGCAUGCUCCCGAAUCCAGUCGACGCCAGUUUUUUCCUCCUCCGACUCAGGUAUACCGAACCCCGAUCCAGAAUCUGGCUGCUGCUGCCUGGAUAGCGGAGUCGAUCCAACCCUCCCAGUCAAAAGCUGGUCGAGGUCUGGUGCAGAUCCGAGCCUUGCUCCGGGCGGCAGGAGAACAGAAUACGGUUGUAUCUCAGUCGCGGGAUAGGAUCCACAAUAGAUCUGUGAUGGCAGACAUAGUUCAGUCGGCCCAUAGCCCAAGAUCGCCUCCGAGGCGUGAGGGACGUGGGGAUCGACGAGAUCAGUACAGAAACCGAGAGCAGUAUGAUCGCCAAGUCGAUCGUGAUGAUCACCGUCGAGUGCCCACACCUCCCCCAAGGAGCGGGUCGUACGUGCCUCGGCAGCAUGAGACAGAAGCCCUCACAGUGUUGGGCGAGGUAUUCCAAUCGACCCCAGAGAGCCAGGCUUUGAUGCGAGAUCUAUUCUCGUGCAGGGCUUGGUUGACAGAAAUAGAGCUCACCGAGAGGGCCAUGAUGGAGAUCCACAAACCAGCAACAGGGUGCAUGUCUCUGGUCCAGAGUGCUUCAGCAGAGCUAUCAGAGCUGCGGUGAUUCCCCCCAACUUCAGGUUGGCGUCUGGAGUUAGUAAGUUCACCGGAGAGUCCAAGCCUGACACUUGGCUUGAAGACUACCGAGUGGCUGUCCAGAUUGGUGGUGGCAAUGAUGAAGUGGCCAUGAAACACCUUCCUCUGAUGUUGGAGGGCUCAGCUAGAGCAUGGCUAAAUCAGUUAGCGCCUGGCAGCAUCUAUACUUGGGAAGAUCUCGCCCGAGUGUUUUACAGAACAUUCAAGGGCACUUGCAAACGGUCGACAGGUUGGACAGAGUUACAGUGUUGUGUUCAGAAGCCGAAUGAAACUUUGAGGGAUUAUAUCCAGAGAUGGAUCACCCUACACCACACGGUAGAAGACGUGUCGGAUCAUCAGGCAAUUUGUGCCUUUAAGGAAGGCGUCAGGUACCGAGAGUUGAAUAUGAAGUUCGGCCGGACAGGAAAUAUGACUCUGGCUCGGAUGAUGGAAAUUGCCACCAAGUAUGCCAAUGGUGAAGAAGAAGAGCGACUCCGGAGCGGCAAGCACAAAGCAGUCGCCCAAGAAGCUGGAGGAGGAAACUCCGGUCGGAAACAGAAGCGCAAGGCCGAUCCAGCUACUCCGGGUGAAGCCUUGGCUGUGGUGCAAGGAAAGUUCAAGGGGAAGCCGAAAGGGUCGUGGAACCCCAAGAAAGUAAAAGAUCAAGAUGGGAAUGACGUGUUGGAUCUGCCGUGCCAUAUCCACACCAAAAAGAUGAAGAAGGUAAUUACAUUUACCCGAAGCACACUGUCGGCAUUCUGGGAACGGGGGUCCCCAGACUUGCCUGCCUGCAGCCUGCGGCGUGGCUCAAAGGGGGGCCCAGCAUGGCCCAUCUUCAUCAAAACAGACCCAAGACCCUCGCGAGGGGCCAAGCCUCGCGGGGUGGAUGACACGGAGCUUCCUUAGGAACGGCCUCACCAGGCUGGCUCGCGAGGAGGCAGAGAGAUCAAGGUGGGGUACCUCACGAGGUGCCCGUGACACAAGCCAUGACGACCAAGGGCGCCAGGCGGGCGCCAGCCCGCUCAGUGUCCUCCUUUCCCCUUUGGUGCAAAGGGGGCAAGCGCAACCGCGGAGUAGCGAGGCAUCAGGCAAAGGUUGCCGUUUCCGUGCAACAAGACCAAGACCAGGAGGACCGCAAGACGGAGGUCAUCGUGGAGCCCAAGACGGCGUCACCACCAGAGCUUUGUGCAGGCGAGGACCAACUUUAGUCAGGAUAAGUGUACUAGAUGUUCCCCUUCAAAAUGGCCAAUUGUUGGUGCCCUUCCCGCUCAAUAUUUGGGAAGAGGCCCAGGGCCAUUGCCUAUAAAUAGGACCAGCCACCCACAAGGAUGGAGGUUCAGGUUCGAGGUAAAAAGGAAGGUUAGAGAUAGAGAUCGAGGAUCAAGGAUCGGAUCGAAAUCAGAGAGAGAGAGAAGGGUGACUGAACUCCUCCUAGCAGUUCGUCCCCCCCCCCCCCAGCAAAAAGCAGACCCUCGCGAGGCUGUUCUUCCUUGUAUUGUUCAUCACCAUCAGCCCAAGAGGCAAUCCACCACACCAUACACUGGAGUAGGGUAUUACACCACAACGGUGGCCCGAACCAGUAUAAACCCUGCGUCUCUUGUGUUGUUCUUUCCAUAGCUCAGAUCUUAGCGAGGCGAAGGGGUGCAGGUAGGUAGGAGGCGAAAUCUCCACGCGCACCCCAGUGUUCGAACCUCAAGGGUCUGCCGGAACCCGAAAUCCGACAUUUGGCGCGCCAGGUAGGGGUGCGCCGGAAUUCGUCUUCCACCACCCCGUUCUCCUCCGACCAUCGCGCCCAUGUCUGACGCUCGUCGGGCCCGCGCCAAGCGCCGGGCCGCUCUCGCUUCCCGCGUCACCCAGACGGCUCUUGUCGGCGAGCGUCCUCGCCGUUCCCCGUCACCUGCCGUCAACGCCGCCACCGGCCCGGCGGGGGACGAGCAGCAAGCAUCGUCUCAGCAUCCGCCAGUGCGACAAGACGGCCGCACCGCUACUCCCUCGCUCAUCCCAGCUGGUUCUUCGUCCCGCGCGCUCUGCGCACCCAUGGAGGCUCGAGCUGCGCUCAUCGCGGCAAACGAGCUCCUAUGCUACCGUCCCGUCGACGACGUCUACGAAGAAUGGCUUGACCGCGUUGCCGAGCUCGUCCGCGCCGCAGGGGGCUCUCCUGCGCCGUCCGUUCCGCUACACCGCACCCCGCCCCGCGCCGGCGACGAGGCUCCGGCGGCGCCCCGGCCGCCUCCUCCUCAAGAAGGCGCCAUGGCUCCAAGGCGCGUGGCCCCUGGGUGGAACCCACUCCGUCAGGUGCCAGCGCGGCAAGAGCAGAGCUGCCAAGAAGUCCCUCGCCCACAAGAAGCUGCCCGAGUGCUCCCUGCUCCAGCACAACAUGACCAUGCUCCUGCUCCCGCACGCCAAGACCCCGCGCUGCUCCCAGCUGCAGCGCGUGGGGACAUGCAAGACCAAGGUCUCCGUCACCCAAGGCCUCCCGUGGCCACAACAGGUUGCCGUGCCUUCACCACCGAGCUAUGCAGCAUCGCGUGGCCCGGCAAGUUCAAGCCAGACCUGCCUCCUCGUUACGACGACACGGCCAACCCUGCGGAGUUCCUCCAGCUCUAUGAGCUGGGCAUCAAAGCUGCCAACGGAGACGAGAAGGUCAUGGCGAACUGGUUUCCCAUGGCGCUCAAGGAUGGGGCCCACACCUGUCUCCUGAACCUGGCCCUAGACACGAUCUCCUCCUAGGACGAGAUGCACACCCGCUUCAUUGCCAACUUCCAAGGUACUCGCGACCGGCCACCCACCGUGAGCGACAUGCGCCGCAUCAAGCAACAACCCGGGGAGACCCUGCAGAAGUACAUCCAGCGCUUCAACAACGCACGCCUCAAGAUUCCCAAGGUGACUGAGGAGGCCAUCAUCUCAGCCUCCUCCGACGGCGUGCGCGAUGUCAAGAUGAAGGAGCUGGCGAUGCAUGAAGACCUGUGCACUUCCUUGGAGCUGUUCAACUUGGCAACCAAGUGCGCCAGGGCCAAGGAAGGGCGUCUCUCCCUCCUCGAGCUGCCUGCCGCAGACCCAGAAGAGAAGAAGCCCAAGGCCAAGGAUGUGAAGCGCAAGGGGGCUGCCGUGCUUGCGGCAGAACCAGACACCAAGCGGGGCAGAGAUCUGCCCGAACCUCCCAAGGGCAGUCGAUAUUGUAUGUACCACGAUCUCCACACCCACAACACCAACGAAUGUCAAGAGCUCCGAGCCGUGCGAGAAGGAAGGAUCGGCCGUCGCCCCGACCGCAGUGACCGGGGCUAUGGUCGAGGAGGAGGAAGGAACGCAGGACGCUGGGAAGACCGUGGCCUGCACCAAGGGUGGCGCGAUCAACCUCGCGAGGAUCGCUGGCAAGAUCCACCUCGCGAGGGAGACUGGAGGGAUCAGCCUCGCGAGGAUCGCCCGCAAGGCAACGCAGGCCUCCCUCCACUGCCGCCGCAGCCAAGGAGGAACGAGGACCGCCACCAGGACGAGGGGGCUGGGGGCUUCCAGGAGCCGCGCGCGAUCGCCUGCAUCCUGGGCGGGGCUCAAGCCCCAGCCUCUCAAUGCAUCUUCAAGCAGUUCGCCCGCGAAGUGAAUGCAGUCCUCCCCAAGCUCGAAGCCACGCGCCCUCUCAGGUGGUCGGCGUGCGCCAUCACGUUCAGCUCAGCAGAUCAGCUCAAGUGUGCGGCUACAGCCAGAGUCCUCCCGAUGCUUUGUUCCCCAAUCAUCAGCAACGUGGUGGUCACCAGGACCCUCGUCGAUGGCGGGGCAGGGCUCAACGUCCUGUCCGUGGAAACAUUCAACAAUCUCCAAGUGCCCUACAGCCAGCUUCAGCCAACCAAGCCUUUCUCCAGAGUCACCGACGGCUCCACGGUCCCGAUUGGGCAGGUCCGCCUCCCUGUCACCUUCGGGGCACGAGACAACUACCGCACCGAGCUCAUCGACUUCAACGUCGCUCACAUUCGCCUGCCGUACAACGCCAUCCUUGGGUACCCAGCGCUGGCCAAGUUCAUGGCCGUAACUCACCACGGCAACAACGUCAUCAAGAUGCCAGGAAGUGGCGGAGUCAUCACGGUGCCCUGUGAAGAGAAGGACGCGGUGUGUUCCCUGGAGCGAGCCUUUCAGGCCGCAUCACUGGAAGACCCGGAUCACGGAAGCAGGAGGCUUCCCGAGACCGCCCCAAGAAGAAGAAGACAUCGUUCGGCCCGACCCCUCAGGAGGCAGGCCCCUCUGGGCCCGCGCCUGCCCAGGGGGAACCUCCUUCCAUCGCAUAGGAAAGCGCGCCCGGCGCCCUCCUCAGGCAGGGCUCGGGGGCUCUCCCCUGGAGGGCCACCGACCUGGCUAGGGUCACGAGGGAGGCGCUUGGGCACCAGAUGGAGGCAUGUUUUGAAGCACGUUUCCCUCAAGAAGGAGUAAGGCAAGGAGAGCCAGACCCUCAGGAGUUCGUCGGCAAGGCCAUUCAGGAGCUACAGGAGUCAAGAGUCAUGAAAGGCGGCCGCCGCCUACCAGCAGUGGCUCCCCAUCCAGGCGAGGAUGGUGGGCUGCGCGUCUGCAUCAACAUACCAGGGCUCAAUCGAGUCGCCUCUCUGGAGCGCCUCUGGCCCUUGCGAGUGGGGCGCUGUGGAGGUCCACCCGACAGCUAUGUUCGCAUGCCUUACGGCUUACCGAACGCGGCUGCCACGUACCAGCGCCUCACGAGGGGCAUCAUGGAGGCACAAGAGGCUAGGCGUUCCGCAGCCCUGGCGGAGAUGGAGAUGGUCCGCGAGGAGCCACCAGCGCCUCCGGAGCCUCCCGAGGCCCCUAGGCAUGGGGGCUCGUGAGGAUUGGCUUCCGCAGCCCACCGAGUCUGCUACACCAACAGUCCUUCGUCCUCAACGUCAUCAGUUGCCCGCUCAACUGACGCCAACUGAUGGAACUGCUCCCAAACAGCACGAUGCUUGCGCAUGGGUCCAUCCCUACAAUGCCAACAAACCUGAAUGGCUAGGCUCUGGCCGCGGCAGCCCCGCAUGGCACCACCUCGUCAAGCCUUCAGUGCCUCGUCGCCCCUCAGAAGCAACCAACGGCUGACUAUCAAUUGUCAUGGCAACCCCUCAUUCUUUCUAUGAUGGGUUUACAGGAUCUCCUAAAGGAGCCGCGUCAGGUGAGGCCCUUGCGGUGUCUCCUUCACUCUCAUCUGCGCAAACCGCUUGCACGUUAAAGGGGGGGGGGGUGCCUGAGCAUCGUGACUCAGGGCUCCUAUUCGCUCUCCAGCCCUCACCCUUUGGCCUUGUCCAUGGCAUCGUGACCUGGCAUACCAGCGACGGCUGAGACUCGCUCGAGGGCUGGGACCCGAGGACGUAGAGCAGAAAGGGGAGCAAAGGCGAGAGGGGAGGAACACGCGAGGACCUCGCCUAGCAGCCUCACGCCUGCCGAUGCACGGACCCGGUGACACACCAGAGAGCGACCCCUGAUUCUCGAGAUAAGUCACCACCCGGAAGCGCCAGCUACCGUGGCACCAUCCCCGCACCUAAUGCAAUCCCGUGUUAGCGACGCCGCUCUCCUUUCUCACCGAACGACGACUGCUUGUGCGCCAAAGGGGACCUCCUGAGCAUCGCGACUCAGGGGCUCUUACCGGACUCCGGGUCGCUCACCUCCUGGCCUUGACCACGACAUCGCGACCUGGCAUACCAGCGACGGCUGAAGCCGCCUUGGGACUGGGACCUGUCGGCGCAGAGCACCAAGCCCUCAUGAGGUUUGAAAGGGAGAACUCGCACAAUUCUACGACAAGGGUUAUAUUAACAAAACAGGAUCACAUGCACCUUACAAGCCCCCACGGGACGCGUCUUUGAUUCCUCGCAGGGAACAGAUCCUAAAAGGAUGCUAACUACGCGCGCCCCUGCAAAAGACGCCAUCAUCAACAAUGGGCCGUCAAGCACCGGCGCCAACCCCAUCCAGAUCAGAGGCGGCGACGGCCUGACGAGCCCGCCCUGCUCCAGGAGCGGCGCUGGCUCGGGGGCUCGUAGCUGUCGUCGCUCGUCUCCGGAGUCGCGAAGAGCUCGCCGGAGUCGCUGGAACCUCCGGCGCCUCCGCUGCCUGAGGAGCCGCCAAGGGAGCGGUCGACGGGCCCAGUCCUCGCCGCAGCAGGGUCCCGGCCACCUCUCCCGGGGCAGCACUCCAGCCGACACCCGUUCGCAUCGAAGACCUUGAAGAACAUCACCGAAGCACCAUCGUACUCCAAGUGGAUCGUGAAGGCACCAGUUGUCCUGCAAACCCGGGCGACAUCGCUCCAGCCUCGAGUCAUGAAGACCUCGCCUAGGGCGACGACCGCGACCUCUGCCUCGGUCGCGAGGGUGCUGCAACUGGCGUGCUGCAGCCAAAGCUCCAGGAGUUCUCCCUGCGGGAUGAUGGAGGCGAAGAAGGAAGGAAGGUGAAUCCAAGACUGAGGAGGCAUGGCGGCGUGGAGCAUGAACUCUCGGGAGGAGCCCUCGGUGUGGACCCCAGGGGGACGACCCACACCUUCGUGACCCGUCGGCGCCGACGGCGGCGCCGCCCAUGGCGAUCAGCAUCAACUCCUUCAGGGCCCUCGAUGUGGGCGUACAAGGGAAGGGGGAACCCCGGCGGUGCCCGCUCGCACCAGGGCCUCGACACCCCCUGAUGGGCCCCCUCGUCCGGGCCACGGAGGGCGAGCCAUUUCUUCGGCGGGAGCGGGUCUGGUUCCUCUCGGGGAGCCUUUCCCUUCUCUGCCAUCGAGAACCGGUGGAUCAGAGCCAUCACAGCAAGACGGAGCAAGGACCGGGAAGAAGGAGAAGCAAGAAGGGAUGGACUGGAAGGGUGCGCGCCGUUCUGUACUUAUGGCCGGCGAAGGCCAACCGCCGACCUCCACGAUCGCAGGUAAUCAUGACCCGCUUUGCAUGCAGGGGCUUGUCCAAUCCGUGCAGUUGCCGAGGCGCCAUGGGGAAGUGGAGACGCCCACGUCCAAUCAACCGCCACGCGACACCCAAGACCGCAGGCUGUUAGGGCCCGCGGCGCUUCGCUCUUGCCCUUCCGCCUCCCUACACGGCCAAGUCCGGGCGCGCCUUGGGCCCGGGGGCUACUGUCGGCAUUCUGGGAACGGGGGUCCCCAGACUUGCCUGCCGGCGGCCUGCAGCGUGGCUCAAAGGGGGCCCAGCAUGGCCCAUCUUCAUCAACACAGACCCAAGACCCUCAUGAGGGGCCAAGCCUCGCGGGGCGGACGACACGGAGCUUCCUCAGGCACGGCCUCACCAGGCUGGCUCGCGAGGAGGCGGAGAGAUCAAGGCGGGGUACCUCACGAGGUGCCAGUGACGAAAGCCAUGACGACCAAGGGCGCCAGGCGGGCGCCAGCCCGCUCAGUGUCCUCCUUUCCCCUUUGGUGCAAAGGGGGCAAGCACAGCCGCGGAGUACCGAGGCAUCAGGCAAAGGUUUCCGUUUCGGUGCAACAAGACCAAGACCAGGAGGACCGCAAGACGGAGGUCAUCGUGGAGCCCAAGACGGCGUCACCACCAGAGCUUUAUGCAGGCGAGGACCAACUUUAGUCAGGAUAAGUGUACUAGAUGUUCCCCUUCAAAAUGGCCAAUUGUUGGCGCCCUUCCCGCUCAAUAUUUGGGAAGAGGCCCAGGGCCAUUGCCUAUAAAUAGGACCAGCCACCCACAAGGAUGGAGGUUCGGGUUCGAGGUAAAAAGGAAGGUUAGAGACAUAGAUCAAGGAUCAAGGAUCGGAUCGAAAUCAGAGAGAGAGAAGGGUGACUGAACUCCUCCUAGCAGUUCGUCCCCCCCAGCAAAGAGCAGACCCUCGCGAGGCUGUUCUUCCUUGUAUUGUUCAUCACCAUCAGCCCAAGAGGCAAUGCACCACACCACACACUGUAGUAGGGUAUUACACCACAACGGAGGCCCAAACCAGUAUAAACCCUGCGUCUCUUGUGUUGUUCUUUCCAUAGCUCAGAUCUUAGCGAGGCAGAGGGGUGCAGGUAGGUAGGAGGCGAAAUCUCCGCGCGCACCCCAGUGUUCGAACCUCAAGGGUCUGCUGGAACCCGAAAUCUGACACACACCACUCAGCAGUGUCGGCUCCUAAUCUAGCAGUUCCGAGAGAAACAACCCAAGGAAAAGGAGAAAGAAGCAGACAAGGCUGAGGAUGAGGAAGAGGAUGAUGAUGGUUAUCCCCACGUGAAUUCCACUCUGGUGAUUUUUGCUGACGUUGAGAGAAAAAAUCGAUUGAAAGUCAUCAACAGGGAAGUGAACAUGGUCGCUCCGGUGACACCCAGUUACUUGAAGUGGUCACAGACUGCCAUUACAUUCGACCAGUCUGACCAUCCAGUGCACAUAGCCACCCCUGGGAGGCAAGCACUCUUGGUCGACCCGGUGGUCGAAGGCACUCGACUGACAAAGGUCCUGAUGGACGGUGGCAGUGGCCUGAACAUACUGUAUGCAGAGAGGUUGAAGGGAAU